rnacentral:lncRNA from 1 species
AAUAAAGUGGUGACAUUAAUCCUCAAAAACGACAAGAUAGCCUUCCUUAUCUAAUUCAUGGAAUGGAAUGGGAGGAUAUUCUUUCCUUGGCUGCCCAAUUAUUCGCACAAAAUAAGCUAUCCUGCCAUCUGGUACAUGGGUUCAGUUUCUUUGCCUCGCCGGUCGAUGUACCCUAGCUUCCAUCUCGAAGUUCCAAAGUCUGGUUCGUGUCACGUGAACUAGAAGGCAGUCGGCAGUAUGCUUAGGUUGGAUCUUGUGGCCACGGCUAGGUGUGGAAAAUGGAUGGCAAAUGGAGCUGUGCUAGCCUAGCUAGUUUACGUGUCCAAACGAGGCGCCGGCACAACUACGAAGAAACAAGCUACUAGUACUUGUGGAGUGGUAGAGUUAGCUAGUCAUGUCAUUAAGUUGGUAAAAAUGGACGCCUAACUUGUCAUAUCUCGAAUUUUUUCAUGGCGUAUGUACUUAGCGACAAAACGAUAGGGAAAGAGUUAAAAUCUUGACGAGAUCAAUAUCACUGACGGGUAAGAAGUGUAGUUAGCUCACGCUUCAUCUGUGUAUCUUGUAAGAAGAACGUUAAUGACGCUAAUCAUGCAGGAUAAACAAAUGCUAAAGAUGGCCCUUUUCACGAUGAGAACAAAACAAUGACUUUUGGAUGGAAAGCAACGUGACACAGCCUUUAGGGGCACAGUUGUUUAAUCCCACGAAGCAACGUUGAAGAAGCACCGGUGGUUUAUCCACGCAUGCAUAGCUAGUCCACGCAAAGAGAGCUUGGAGCUGAAGGUAGGCGCAUGCUACCUACUCGGCGUGUGAUGCAGAGACACUCACAAACACACAACACGCACAAGUUAAUCACGGUCACGAAAGAGAAAAGAUAGAAUCUGUCGUGGAAUUUUCAUGACAGAUGUCCUAGUAAAAGGACUUAGUCGUGGAGCCAUCGCAACUAGGAAUCUUGAAGGGGUUAAUCGGGACAAAGGACACGAGGUUUAUACUGGUCCGGCCCCUUACAAUGAAGGUAAAAGCCUAUGAUCCAGUUUUGAGUGGGAUUGCUUAUGUCUCGAUAACCAGGGAGCAAAUCGCUUGACCUAGCUCAUGAGUUGAUGUUACUUGUCUUGAACCGCCGCCGGCUCAUCCCUUUAUAUACAUAGGUCGACGCCCAGCAGCUCUGCAGAGUCCUGGCCGGCUCAUAAACAGUGUCCGGCUCGGUCUCUUAACUAUUCUUGCCUUACAAUACAAGUCACGCAUACAGGGCGGUUUAUCACUACGGGCCUUAAGUCGCCUCUGGGCCUUGGGCCCUUAAGUAAACGGCCAUUUAUAUCCUGGGUCUUGUGCUUCAAGAAUAUUUGGAAGUAUGACCCGGCCCCUCCUGGGCGGGUCAUACCAAUAGUUAUAUCCCCAACAUUAGGCCCCAGAUUGAUUUGAACUGGUUUCAUGUCAAUCAUCGACACUUAAGGAAAAAGAUCUUCUGGCUUUAUGAAAUUUUUGUAACCCGCCAUGACAUCGUUUUCUGGAUUUGCGGUAACCUGCCAGGAUGUCACCUGUCAUAAAAGUGUGUUUUAUUCAAUGCAUCCCAAUGGAUCUUUGUCUUGAUGACCAUCCCGAAAAUCGAGGCGUCCUUGUUGUUGGAUAACUCAUGUUUUCGACCUCCUCGUUUUUCAUGCUCUUUAGUGGCCCUUCCUUAUAAAUUGACCCGACUAGGUCUUCCUCAUUUCCUCCGUUCGCGUCUUCUUCCUCUCGCCCCCAUCUGCUACCGGAGCUCCGCCGCCGUCAUCGCAACGCAUCUCGUAUCCGUCGUCUUGGCCGCUGCAUCAACCUGAUCUUGACCAGAAAACAGCGGAGCCCUUCCACAGCAAACCUUUUGCAGUAAGUUAUCUUCUUUCCGCACCAUAGACCCGUGCUAGGGCUAGUGUGUUCUUCUGUAUUGCGCGAAGUUCAGCUGAGUUCUUGUAUUCCAUCUACUAUGGCUUCUUUUAAUCCAAAAACCCCAUAGAUCUUAUGCGGUACGUGUUCCGCAUCCAUUUUGGGCACCAGUAGAUCUCCUUUCCAUGUAAGAAAACCCCAUUAUAGCGCAUGAACUCCUCUGUGCCCUGUUUUAGGUCUAGAAAAUUUUCCUUUUCUGAACAUCUGUUUGAUCCAAAAUAACAGCUGCAAAUUGUGAAAUCUGUUUGUACAACACUUAGGCAAAAUCUGCACUUGUUAGAUUUAUCUAGUCAUGGCGACUCUGACGCCGGCUUUAAGGAAGCAAUGCUUAAUUAAUAACUUAAACCAUCCUUAGUGGUUUAACUAGUCUUGACGGCUUACAGAGCCUAUGGUGGUUGAAACAACCAUGACAUACUUAUCCUUAUACCAUUAGGCCCCUUUGUAAGCCGCCAUCUUGAAUAUGCACAAUAAUAUAUUUUUUCUGCCUGGCUUACAUUUGAACCGACACUUUUACUUUGUCUUAGGCUUUCAAUCAGAAUGGCACCAAAGGCACCUACCUGCUACAACUGGGUUAAAUCCAUUGUCACUGACAGCACCUUGGAUAACUUUGUGAAGACCGGCUAUCUGCCAAAGAAAGAAGUCAUGCCUUAUCGUGCUCCUAACCCGGAGGAAGAAUUUCCUCAACCCAAAGACGGAGAGGUUGUUGUUUUCAUAGAUCAUAUGAAUCGGGGAUUUACCCCUCCUGGCUCAAAAUUCUUCAGAGACGUGCUGGAUUUCUUUGAUCUUCACCCACAAGACAUCGGACCCAAUUCCGUGUCUAAUAUCUGCAAUUUCCAAGUAUUCAGCGAAGUAUACCUUCGACAAGAACCCAAUUUGCUGCUAUUUAGAGAAUUGUUUUAUUUGAACUGCCAGAAUGAGUGUGCUAGCGGUCAGAGCUUAGAGCUAGGCGGUGUCUCAAUCCAGCGCCGUAGAGAUGUGAUCUUACCUUACGCCAACCCGCCGAGCCACCCCAAAGACUGGAAUAUGACAUGGUUUUACUGCAAAGAUACCUCGCCGGCUGAUGAAAACCCUCUGCCCGGCUUUCGUGCCCUUCGUCUUGGGCCCAACCAUCAUUUGCCUGACAAGAUUACAGCCACGGAACAUAAAUCACUUGCCCCCACUUUGGCCAAGAUCAAGGCUCUUCUGGGGAACGGGUUGACAGGCAUUGACCUGGUCCGGGUUUAGCUCGCCCGGCGGGUUAUUCCGUUGAGCCGCCGCACCGGCUUGACGUCCGAGUACAUUGGUGCAAAGAAUGAUCCUCCGCGUCACGGCCGUGACGACUUACCUGACGAUGUCGUUGACGAUAUGACCAAGUCUCUUCUGAACGAAAGCCUGGCGGAUUGCGGCAAAGUGGGCUUAGCCCCCUUCUGCAAAGCUAAACCGACUCCAAAGGUAAACCGCCCAUGUGAAAUAAUUUAUUUAAUUUUUAAUGUUUCACCCAUACUCAUGCAUAUGCUAAUCUUUGUAGGCGGGUGAUAAAUUCUGGAAGGUCAAAUAUGACCAUGAAGCUGCCAACAAAGCUAGAAAAGAGAAGAGAGCCACCAGGAAAGAAGCUGCCAAAAGGAAGGGCAAGAAGGCCACCGCUUCUGACCUGCUUCGGCUAGUGGACUCUUCUGAGUUGGAGGUAGCCCUUGAUUCCCUUGGCUCAUUUUUUAACCAUCUUAUUGACACUGAUUAUCAGCAGGAGGACACAGGAGCAAGCCGUAACAAGGCUGAUGAGGUAACUAUCCUUUCCUCUAACUCCGAGCCUUUGCCAAGACGCAAAAUCCACAGAGUGACCCAGAAAGUAAGGUUUUCUCAUCCUUUAGCUCAUCACGAUCCUCAAUUUCUUUUGAAGCGGCAAAUUCACGAGAGCCGGAGGCAGACCCAUACCAGCAAGGACGCGGAGCUCUCCUCCGGCUUACCAAACACUCCAAGGAAGCGCCGGAAUGAGGUCACUCCUGUUUUAAAUAGAUUUUAUCCCUUAGCGGGUCUCUUUCGUCAACCACUCAAUUCUUCUGAUUCGGAUUACCAGGACACUUCCCCUUCCUCCGGGACUCACUAUAGGCCAACCUGCCGGCUUUCAAGACUGCACCAGGGUAUGAUGAUCCGCUCAUCUUUUAUUUAUUUUAAUCCCUUGCAUCUGUACUAACCUUUAUUUUGACGCAGUGGUCAAGCCAAACCCAGCAAACGGGUUAGGAAAAACAAACCAGCUGAAGAUACAGUUGCGACUGAGCCGGUUCUUGAAGCAGCCGUGCCGGACUCGACCACUCAUUAGCCGCCAUCUGAGCCCGCUCAAGACCUACCAACUCCUGCUACUGACCUGCCCACUGAUCGAGCCACCGACGAAUCAGAGAAUCCAAAGGCCCCUAGCCCGGUCAGGACUGAUGACCCUCAAAAUGCUGAUGUUGAGAUCACCAGAACCGGCUAUGUUGAGCUGGGAAGGCCGACUGUACUGGCCACGUGCCCCGCCAAGGAAGAACUUCUGGACCACCACCGGGUCAAGAUGGAUGUUGCCAACUAUGCUCAUAUGAGUAUUGGAGACAUGUUUUCAGGUUAGAUGAGCCAAGUGCACAACAGCCGGAACCUCGAGAUUGAUAUGGUGAAGAAGAUGCACCAAAAAUUCGAGGUAUAACCCGUUCUCUUUCAUUCAUUCAUCUUUACUAUGCUAGUCCCCAAGUCUACUGCUUAUAACGUUUAUGCUGUAGACUUUUAGAAACAAUCUUAAUGAUAUUAGUAACAUAGAUGAAUAAAACAUAUAAGAACUCCGACUUACUCUGUAGUCCCCAAGGGGCGGCUUAACCAGUAUGGUUGAGCCAGUCCUUAUAUAUAAAAAAUACUUACCAGUCUUUGAACAACAAUAUGCAUUAGCCCCCAAGUGCCAAGUAUUAUUGAUUGCAAAAUGCUUGGGACUUACUCUUAUGAAUCUCCAUCUUAUGAACCGCCAUUGAAAAUAAAACUCUUUGGUAACAUUAGCCCCCAAGUGCCAAGUGUUGUUGCUGGCAAAAUGUUUGGGACUUUAAUAUUACAUAAAAAAUUGGCUUGAUUUUGACUCUGUAUUUGUAUAGGCCGAGCCAACUCGAAUCCGAGGUGACUGAUCUGAAGAGCCGCCUUGAGACCCAAGAGACGAAAAUAGAAAAGGCCGACACUAAGUUCAAAUUCAGCGUUUCUGAACAAGAAAAACUGAAGAAAGAAUUUGAAGCUGAAUGGAAAGUCUGGGCUGAUGAAAAGACUGCACUGAUUAACCAAGCUGAAAAAGCAGAGGCGGCUCUGGAAGAAGUCACCGGUGAAUUAACCGGUUUAAAGUGCCAUGUCUCUCAAAUGGUCUCAGCGACCUUUGGUAAGUCGCCCUGCAAGUGUUUAAAUAUCUAAGCCUUUCAGGUGAUCAUAAAAACUGGAAUUAACUCACCUGAUCACGUUUAUGCAGGCCCCAGAAGCUCAAACUUGAACCAAGACAUGCUGAUCAAACUGAAGGCAGUGUACACUUUGGUGGAGCAAUUGUACACCGGGUCACAACGUGCAUUAGCUACGGUGGAUUUGUCGAAUGAAGUGCCAACCCUCCUGGUAGAGGUCUUGAAGAAGCUUUCCGUGCUCCCUCAACAGUUCAAUGAACUGAGACGGUCAGCUGCAAGAGCCGAAGCGGUAAAUGCUUUAAGUCGGGCCAAGGCUUGGCUACCAGAGUUAGACCCAGCCGACAUUGCCACUGGCUACCCAAGCUUAAAGGAAGAUGGCACACCGUUUGAAGAAAACGACUUCACUGCUUGUGUAAAGGAGAUACGCCCCGUGGCUACACUUAUAGCGAAUGAAGUAGAUCUUACCAAAUAUCAGGCGGGUUAUGAUGAAGAAAACCGGAGAAUUCUAAUCCCUUAUUAUGAAGUGACCAGUCUGACCCCCCCACUCUGUAAGCACACCUUCGCUCCUGAAGUUGACCCGGCCGGCCUUGUUGAUGCUGAAGCUGAAUUUGAACUUUUGAACAACAUUGACUGGUCAUCGUCAACCUUCUAGGAAAGGGAGCAGGGCGAAGACGCGGAGAGGGCUAACCCGGACACUUCAGGCCAAUCAUGAAGGUUAACCUGCCGUGGUGGUUAAUACCUGGGAUGUACUUACAAAACAAUGUGAAUCAUUUGGACUCAGGGAGUCCUGUAAUAGAAUAGAAAUAACUUUAGUUUGGCCGUGCCAUCGUGCACGUUUUAUUGCUUAACGCCAUUAAGCCGCCGUGUUAUAUCCAUCCGUGUUACUUUUCAUCUGCUUACCGUAUGCUUGAUCAGACCUUUUAAACUGUCUUGCAUAUGAAAACAAACUACAAAAUCCCUUGGCGGCUUACCGCCAGGCGGGUAAAAAGAACUUAAAAAGAGUCAUAGACUAACUUGUUAUGAAAACACAACUAUGAUCUUACACCUGUGACUUUUUAAAUUUGCACCGCUGGCUCAUAUGACCCGGUCGGUAAGGGUGAUAACCCAAUCUUUGGACACCAAAAGUUCAAAGUUAUAAUGAUGCUCAUAUAUUGGCGACUCAUCAGUCGAUAUUAAGCCGGGUCAAAAAUAACCAUACUUGUACUUGUAAACCUCAAAAAGUCUCUAGUCAAACAACGAGUGCUUCCAAAGAAAACUUAAACCAAAAUAUAAUAUAAAAACUUCAAGGCUACUGAUUCGAAUAUGAUCAAUAAACCGUUCCAAAAGGGUUAAGAUAGGAUUCGAAUACGAUCAUGUAGCCCCCAAUGGCUUUGGCGUUGCGCCGAUCAAGAGGGUACCGAGAGUUGUGUUCUCUUUGGUUCGAAUACGACCUAUGUUUGAACAGGAAGCCCCCUAAUGACCUUGAGAGUUUUUUAACAACUCUGAUUCGAAUACGAUCAAAGUCGGUUCCCAAAAGGGGUUAAGCUAUGAUUCGAAUACGAUCAAGAAGCCCCCUAGUGAGCUCGGCAGUGUGCCAAUCAAAAGGGUACCGACAGCUGUGUUCUCUUUGGUUCGAAUAGGACCUAUGUUUGAACAGGAAGCCCCCUAAUGAUCAUAAUUUUUAACGGCUAGAUUCGAAUGCGAUCGUUAGCCGGAUCAAGCGGAUUAAGCCGGAUCAAAUGUGAUCAGCCCCCAAGUGAUCAUGUGAGAUAAUAAGGAUAAUAAUAAUAAUGACAAAUUUACCUUUGAGGGAGGAAAAAAGGACAGAGGUCCUGCUUUAUUAUUUAUCAUAAUAUAUACAUUGUCAAAAUAUGUACACUAGGAGAGUCUAUGGCUCAAGUGUAGUAAGGCCAAAGAUGAGCGAUAUUCCACGGUCGACGGGUCUCUUCCUCCGAUUUACGUGAGUCCUUGCGCUCUCCAACAUCGAUAAGGUAAUAUGACCCGUUGUUCAAGUUCUUGUUGACCACAAAGGGCCCUUUCCAAGGCGGGGAUAACUUGUGUGCAUCCGUUUGAUCCUCGAUCAGCCGGAGCACCAAAUCACCUUCCUGAAAGGUUUUAGACUUAACCCGGCGGCUGUGAUAUCGGUGCAAGUCAUGUUGGUAAAUCGCCGAACGAGCUGCUGCCAAGUCCCGUUGUUCAUCUAACAGGUCAAGAGCAUCCUGACGUGCCUGUUCAUUGUCCACUUCCACAUAAGCCGCCACGCGAGGUGAGUCAUGACGGAUGUCACUAGGGAGAACCGCCUCAGCUCCGUAGACCAUGAAAAAGGGCGUAUAACCCGGAGUCGUGUUGAUGCUCCAUAACACGGAAGGUAACUCCUCAACCCAGCAACCUGGCGUUCGUUGCAAGGGGACCAGAACCCGGGGCUUGAUGCCUUUCAAGAUCUCCUGAUUGGUUCUCUCGGCUUGACCAUUGGAUUGUGGGUGAGCUACCGAUGAAACAUCAAGCCGAAUAUGCUCACGUUGACAAAAUUCUUCCAUGGUGCCUUUAGACAUAUUGGUACCAUUGUCAGUUAUAAUACUGUGUGGAAAGCCGAAGCGAAAUAUCACCUUUUUCAUGAACUGAACCGCCGUAGCCGCAUCACACUUACUGACUGGCUCUGCCUCAACCCACUUUGUAAAUUUAUCAACUGCCACCAAGAGGUGGGUAUUUUUAUCUUUGGAACAUUUAAAAGGCCCAACCAUGUCAAGUCCCCAGACUGCAAAUGGAAUCAUCCUCAAUUCAUGAUCCAGCACAUGAGCCCGUCUUGAGAACUUCUGACAACCGUCACAUUUGCUGACCAAGUCCUCUGCAUCAGCAUGAGCCGUCAGCCAACAGAAUCCGUGACGGAAAGCCUUUGCCACGAGGGAUUUUGACCCGGCGUGAUGACCACAAUCCCCUUCAUGAAUCCCACGAAGAAUUUCUUUGCCUUCUUCAGGAGAGAUGCAACGCUGAAAUGCCCCUAUAACACUGCGAUGAUGCAACUCGCCACCGACAAUCGUCAUAGACUUAGACCGUCGGGUUAUCUGCCUGGCCAAGGUUUCAUCCUCAGGCAACUCACCAUGAGUCUUAUAAGCCAGAUAUGGCACCGUCCAAUCUGGAAUGACAUGAAGAGCCGCCACCAAUUGUGCUUCCGGGUUAGGAACAAUGAAUUCUUCCUCUGUGGGUAGCCUGACAGAAGGGUUAUGCAGAAUAUCCAAGAAAAUAUUAGGCGGCACCGGCUUACGCUGAGAUCCCAGCCGGCUUAAAGCAUCAGCUGCCUCGUUCUUUCUGUGGUCAAUGUGCUCCACCUGAUAACCCUUGAAGUGUCCAACAAUUGCAUCGACUUCGCGGCAACAAGCCACCAUGAGGGGAUCCUUAGAAUCCCACUUGCCUGAUACCUGCUGAGCCACCAGAUCUGAGUCGCCAAAACACCUUACCCAGCUUAAGCUCAUCUCUUUAGCCAUCCGGAGACCAUGGACCAAGGCUUCGUACUCAGCUGCAUUGUUAGUACAAUGAAACAUCAACCGUAGCACAUAACAAAAUUUGUCAUCUCGAGGGGAAGCUAAAACAACUCCAGCCCCCGAGCCCUCCAAUUGUCUGGACCCGUCAAAGUGAAUAGUCCUAUCAGAGUAAUGGGCCACGGGUAGGCUAACCCGAGCCCCAGAACCUUUCAAGACAUCGGGGCAGGCUACGCCCCUCAAGCCGAGUCCUAGGUGCGACUCCAAGAUAAGCCGAGUCCCAGGCGCGACUCCAAGAUAAGCCGAGUCCCAGGCGCGACUCCAAGAUAAGUCGAGUCCCAGGCGCGACUCCAAGAUAAGCCGAGUCCCAGGCGCGACUCCAAGAUAAGCCGAGUUCCAGGGACGACUCCAAGAUAAGCCGACUCAUGGCCGGCGACUUCCAGAGAAGCCGGGUAUGGAGAGUCGGCCCGCGACUCCACCCGUCUCCUACCUUCGCCGUGAUAGGCGGGGCGGGGUACGGUCACAGCGUGGCUGUCACCCCCCGCUUACGAGGGGCUGGCAUGGCUACAGUGUGCCGUAUUGCUGGAGAUCUCCAGUGGUGCACUGUGUCAACGACGGCCUACCUGUACGACCCAGAGACGGCAGGACCCGCCCGUCAGCGAGAGCACAGAAGAUGGCGGAUACGCCCCGAAGACGGACCCAUGGGAGUCGGCCCCCCUGGAGUCGGCCGACCCCUCCCACGGGCCCCACAUGCCAUUAACCAGACAAGAUGGGGAAUGGCGACAGUGAUCGUUCGAUAGACGGCGGCACUGUUGCCACGACCCCAUGACCAAGCCUGCGUCAUUAGAAGCACGGCUACAGUACCGGACCCGCCCCAGCAGUCGGUGGAGAAGAUGGCGGCCUGAGAGACAAACAACUGGGGCCCGCGCCCAGCCGGAUUACCGUUGUACCCCCGGGGGGUAGGCCUAUAUAAACCCCCCGGGGCACCCAUGCAAAGGGUUGGAAUCCAGUAGCACUAGACCAUAGCAAAUAGGAAGGAGAGAGUUGGCCCUGCCUUCUCCUACCUCCAGAAUACAGCUCGAGGAGCAACCUUGUACUCACUUUGCCUUAGUGAUCAUGCGGACACCCCGCAGAGCAGCAGUAGGGGUGUUAUCUCCUAGGAGAGCCCCGAAGCUGGGUAAGAUCCGCCGACGUGCAUGUCUUCGUCUCAUUCCGUUUCCUGGCACCGGCGAUGUUCUACUCGCUCCCACCAUGAUAAGCCAUCCUUUGGCAUAUGUCGCACCCAACCCCCGACAAGUCCAAUAUGUGUUGUCCGACUUUUCUUCAGAUAUCUGCAACUGUGUCCAAUCAUUGAUGAAAUCCACUAGUGCUUGAGAUUUAAUAGCCGUGCGCGGCACAUACUUCAAGCCAUGAGGCCCAAGCUCAAUGGCCCACUUGGUGACUCGUCCUGUGGCCUCUCUGUUUUGAAUGAUAUCCCCCAAAGGAGCUGAACUAACCACAGUAAUGGGGUGGCCCAGGAAGUAUUGCUUAAGCUUCCGGCUUGCCAUGAACACCCCAUAAAUGAGCUUCUGCCAAUGUGGAUACCGUUGUUUGGAAUCAAUAAGGACCUCGCUGAUGUAGUACACCGGCCAUUGAAGCGGGUGUUCCUUGCUGGCGUCCUUGCGCUCCACCAUGAUGGCCACGCUAACGGCACGCGUGUUAGCAUCCACAUAUAAUAACAUGGGCUCCUUAUCAAUAGGAGCAGCAAGAACCGGCGGCUCAGCCAGCUAUUUCGUCAGAUCUUCAAAAGCGGCAUUGGCAGCGUUACUCCAGACGAAGUUAUCCGUCUUCUUCAUCAUUUGAUACAGUGGUAUGGCCUUCUCACCUAACCGGCUUAUGAACUGGCUUAAAGCAGCGAUACGACCCACCAAACGCUGAACGUCAUUGAUACACGCCGGUUUGGCCAGAGAGGUGAUGGCCUUGAUCUUCUCUGGGUUAGCCUCGAUGCCCCUGUUAGAAACCAGAAAUCCCAAAAGCUUGCCUGCCGGCACACCAAAAACACACUUGGCCGGGUUAAGCAUCAUCUUGUAAACCCGAAGAUUGUCAAAGGUUUCCUGGAGAUCAUCAAUCAAGGUCUCCUUCUCUCUGGAUUUCACCACUAUGUCAUCCACAUAAGCAUGAACGUUGCGCCCAAUUUGAUUAUGAAGACAAUUCUGCACACAUCGUUGAUAAGUCGCCUGGGCACUCUUGAGCACAAAAGGCAUUGAUACAUAGCAGAAGGCUCCAAACGGAGUAAUGAACGCCAUCUUCUCCUGGUCCUUAACUGCCAUCUUGAUCUGAUGAUAACCAGAGUAAGCAUCCAAAAAACUCAAACGCUCACAACCUGCCGUAGCAUCAAUGAUUUGAUCAAUACGAGGGAGAGCAAAAGGAUCAGCUGGACAGGCCUUGUUUAAAUCCGUGUAAUCUACACACAUACGCCAAGUGCAGUUUUUCUUAGGCACAAGCACCGGGUUAGCCAACCACUCUGGAUGAAAACUUCAAUGAUGAACCCAGCUGCUAAGAGUCGGGCUACCUCCUCACCAAUGGCCUUCCGCCUCUCCUCAUUGAACCGCCGAAGAAAAUGUUUGACCGUCUUAAACUUUGGAUCAAUAUUAAGAGUGUGCUCAGCAAGUUCUCUCGGUACACCUGGAAUGUCAGAAGGCUUCCAUGCAAAAAUGUCCCGGUUCUCACGGAUGAACUCGAUGAGCGCGCUUUCCUAUUUGGGAUCCAAAUUGGCACUAAUACUGAACUGCUUGGACGAGUCACCUGGAACAAAGUCAACAAGCUUAGUAUCAUCAACCGACUUAAACUUCUUGACUGGCUCAUGCUCUGUGGUUGGCUUCUUUAAAGAUGUCAUAUCCGCCGGGUCAACAUUUUCCUUGUAAAAUUUUAACUCUUCUGUUGCACAGACCGACUCAGCAUAAGCCGCGUCACCUUCUUCACAUUCCAAGGCUACCUUCCGGCUCCCAUGCACCGUAAUGGUUCCCUUAUGACCCGGCAUCUUGAGCUGCAAAUACACAUAACACGGCCGUGCCAUGAAUUUGGCAUAAGCCGGCCGCCCAAACAGAGCACACUACAACAGGACCCCACAUAUAGCAACGCAUGUUUCCGUAUCUAAAAGUCCAUAUAUGCGUUGCUAGGGUCGUUACCAACGGUUUGGGAUGCGUAGCCUUAUGCAGUGUUGCUAGCGCAUAAUGCAACGGUUAUACUUCCGUUGGUAAAAGGAACCAUUGCAAGAGUACAACACAUAAAACCAACUUUUACAACACUCAUAUACGUUGGUGGUUAAUGUAUAGGAAUUCAAAUUCAUCUACAUGGUUGCAACACUAAAGGUGUUUUACAUAUAAAAUGUGAAUAAUAUUUAUAUAUUGCCAGCAAUUAAAUUAACGCUCCACAUAAUGGUGAUAAGUAUGUAUAUCAAGUCGGAAAAAAAUAUACGCACGAGAGAAGAAAUCAUAUAUUGAAAAAAAUUGUGGGAUUACAAUAGUUGAUAUUACAGGAGAAAUAACAUCCAAAUGUGAUGCAUAAUUUGAAUAUUCUCUUGACAGCAAAACUUAAACUGAAAUCCUCCAUCAACAUCCCUACAACUUAACUAAAACUUAACCGAGGAACAUAAUCUAAUAGGAAAGCUUAUUACCAAAAUCGGUCUCACCGAGUUUGUGUAAUCGGUCUCACCGAGAUUACGUUAUGCCCUAAUCCUAACCAUAUCGGUCCUACCGACUUGCAUGUCGGUCCCACCGAAAAUCCUGACGGUCACUAGGUUUACUAAAUCGGUCUAACCGAGUCUGUUGAGUCGGUCCCACCGAGUUUGGUAAAUUGUAUGUAACGGUUAGAUUUUGUGUGGAGGCUAUAUAUACCCCUCUACCUCCUCUUCAUUCGCGGAGAGAGCCAUCAGACUGAACCUACACUUCCAACUUACCAUUUCUGAGAGAGAACCACCUACUCAUGUGUUGAGGCCAAGAUAUUCCUACCAUAUGAAUCUUGAUCUCUAGCCUUCCCCAAGUUGCUUUCCACUCAAAUCUUCUUUCCACCAGAUCCAAAUCCUAUGAGAGAGUGUUGAGUGUUGGGGAGACUAUCAUUUGAAGCACAAGAGCAAGGAGUUCAUCAUCAACGCACCAUUUGUUACUUCUUGGAGACUGGUGUCUCCUAGAUUGGCUAGGUGUCACUUGGGAGCCUCCGACAAGAUUGUGGUGUUGAACCAAGGAGUUUGUAAGGGCAAGGAGGUCGCCUACUUCGUGAAGAUCUACCGCUAGUGAGGCAAGUCCUUCGUGGGCGACGACCAUGGUGGGAUAGACAAGGUUGCUUCUUCAUUGACCCUUCGUUGGUGGAGCCCUCCGUGGACUCGCGCAACCGUUACCCUUCGUGGGUUGAAGUCUCCAUCAACGUGGAUGUACGAUAGCACCACAUAUCGGAACCACGACAAAAACAUCUGUGUCUCCAAUUGCGUUUGAAUCCUCCAAACCCUUCCCUUUACAUUCUUGCAAGUUGCAUGCUUUAAUUUCUGCUGCUCAUAUACUCUUUGCAUGCUUGCUUGAAUUGUGUGAUGAUUGUGUGACUUGUCCAAAGAUAGCUAAAAUCUGCCAAACUCUAAAAUUGGGAAAAGGUUAAGUUUUUAAUUGGUCAAGUAGUCUAAUCACCCCCUCUAGACAUACUUCAAGGUCCUACAAGUGGUAUCAGAGCUUUGGUCUCCAUUUGCUUUGAUUUCCAUAGCUUUUGGUGGUCAUAGUCUUGGUUUCACAACCUAGGAGAGUAUGGCGUCUAGCGAGGGAAAUUAUCACCAUAGAGGUCCUUACUUUGAUGGUACUAAUUUUGCUAGUUGGAAGCAUAAGAUGAAAAUGCAUAUUCUCGGACAUAACCCUGCCGUUUGGGCUAUUGUGUGUAUUGGCUUGCAAGGUGAAUUCUUUGAUGGGAGAGAACCGAACCAUGAAGCUAGCGCGGAAGAAUUGAAGAUGCCGCAAUACAACGCUCAAGCUUGUGAUAUCCUCUUCAAUGGUUUGUGCUCCGAAGAAUUCAACAAAAUCAGCCGUCUUGAGAAUGCAAAGGAAACUUGGGAUACUUUGAUUGAUAUGCAUGAAGGUACCGACUCCGUCAAGGAAUCCAAGUUGGAUGUGCUCCAAAGUCAGCUUGACAAGUUCAAAAUGAAGGAUGGUGUAGGUGUCGCUGAAAUGUACUCUAGGCUUGCUCUUAUCACAAAUGAGAUUGCCGACUUAGGGAGUGAAGAGAUGACCGACAGAUUCAUCAUCAAGAAGAUCCUAAGAGCAUUGGAUGGAAAGUAUGAUACUGUGUGCACAUUGAUCCAAAUGAUGCCAAAUUACAAAGAUCUCAAGCCAACGGAAGUCAUUGGAAGAAUUGUUGCUCAUGAGAUGUCAGUCAAGGAUAAGGAGGAACUUCACAACAAGUCAAGUGGUGCUUACAAAGCCUCAUGUGAAGCCCCCACAUCAUCAAGUGAGAAACAAACCUUCAAUGAAGAAUUGAGCUUAAUGGUGAAGAACUUGAACAAAUUCUACAAGAGUAGAAGCAAAGAAAGAAGCUCUAAAUCAAGGUCCUAUAAUGACAAAAGAUCUUCUAGUCGAGAGCGCAAUUGCUACAAUUGUGGGAGAGCCAGACACUAUUCCAAUGAGUGUACGUCACCCUACAAAAGAAGAGAAGAUUCUCCAAAAAGAAGAAGCAAAAGAGAAGAAUCAUCACCAAGAGAGAGGAGGAGUAGAGAUGAUCGUUAUGAAUGAAGACCCUCACGGAGAAGCAAAGAUUCGGAAAGGAAGGACAAGUCAUCAAGGAGCUACACAAAAUGAAGACAUCAAGCUCAUGUUAGUGAUAUGGUAUCUGGCUCUGACUCCGACAAUCACUCCGAGAGAAGCUAUCACUCCGACUCCGAAUAUACUCAAGAUGAAGGUGUUUCCGGUCUAGCACUUGUGUCAACCAACUCCUAUGACAUAUUUGAUUCACCAAAUGAAGGAAUUGGAAGAUGCUUCAUGGCCAAAGGCCCUAAGGUAACACAUCCCAAGUAUGUUGAUUUCAAUAGUGAUGAAGAUGACUUGCUAGGUGCUGAUGAUUUACUUGUUGACAACUCUAGUGAUGAAUACUAUGAUGAAACGUCAAUUAAUCAUGCUAAUCAAGAUAAAACGAAUGACAAUGAUAAGGAGAAGAUUGAGCUUCUAACUAAAGAACUAAACACUCUUAAGUUAGCUCAUGAAACUAUCUUCGAAGAUCAUCGAGAACUUUUAAGGGCUCAUGAGAAGUUACGCUUUGAAAAGCUCAAUCUUGAGCAAGAGCAUGAGUUCUUAAAAGCAAUCAAUGAUGAUCUCCGUAAGAAAAGUUCUUCUUACAUUGCCUAGCGUUUACUCUUAUCUACUUACAUGCCUCAGGUCAAGUCUAGUAACAAGAACAAGAAAGAUCCUUCCUCUAGUAGUCACAAUAACAAUGCUAAAUGCAACAUUGUUGCUUCUAGUAGUUCUCUUGAUUCCACUAAUGAUUCUCUUAGCCAAGUUACACUUGAGCAAGAAAAUAGCUUAUUGAAGGGAAUUAUAGAGAAAGGUGUAUACAAGAGCCUUGCCGGGCGUAAGAAAUUCGAGGAAAUUGUACGCAAGCAAGGAAGGCACCGGAAGAAUCAAGGUGUUGGUUUUGAACGAAAGUUCGAUGCCAAUGGAGUUGAGUGGGAAGAAGAUCAAUACCCCAAGACGAAGUUGUUCCUCAACAAGAGAAGUAUGAUCCUACUUCCUUCAAGGGAACACAAGCACAAGAUGAUCUUCCACCACAAGACCACAAGAACAAAGGCAAGGACAAGCUUCAAGAGGAGAUUGAUGCAUUUGAAGAAGCACCUAAGGCCUUGGUCAAGUGGGUUCCCAAGACUACGUCAAGUUCUACUUCAUCAAGUACAACUACAACUCCAAGGAUUCCCAUCAAGAUGAUGUGGAUCCCGAAGAAGAAGAACUAGAGUUCUUGAGGGUGACUCCUUCUAUAUUCUUCACUCAUAUCAUUAUGGCAAGGACAAGGGCAAUCAACUUCCAUAUCUUGCACUAGUUCAAGGAGUCACAAACCCUCAUGUUGGUAAGGCAAGGGACAAGGUAACCUAAUGAUUUCAUGGACAUCAUAUUGUGUGUGCAUCACUCUAUGUCUAUGGAUAUUCUUGUUUGUUCCUUGUGGGACUAACCCAUGUAGGUAUGUUGAAAGUGCAACUCACUCCAAAGGAUUGCUCCAAAUGAUCUACAUCAACAUUGAGCAUCCACAUCUUCAACUCCUACAUGAAGUCAUCAUCGACAAAACCCAAGGUUAGUUCAUCCCUCUAAGGGGGGAUCUCACAUCUAGGGGGAGCUUAACUCUAAAAUUGAGUCAAACCAACUCUAAUGGUGUGAACACAUCAAUGCAUUAUGUAAAAGUGGUAACCCCACUUGAGCUUAAACGAUGAGUAUGACCUAUGAUCAAAUGUUCUCGUUUGACUCCUAAGUCAAUAUACUCAUAUAUAGAUGACCUAGUCAUCGCCAAUUGUUUGAUAGAUGCUAGAAUUGGUUGUGCAUGCUUUGCCACAUAUUUCAUUUGCCAUUUUAUUGUGUGAGCAUGUUGGAUGCAUAUUUUACUCAUUCGAGGAAAUCCACUUGUUUCUUUGAUUGUUUGGCUUCUUUUUCUUUGGCCAAGUGGAUGGACAAGAAUGCCUAAGAACCUUCUCUAGCUAUCUAUGAUUUUCUUGUCUCAAACUCUUUUCAUGCUACAUCAAAAAUUUGAUCAAGUCAGAUUCGAAUCACUCUGUGUGAGGAGCACUCGGAGUCCCCGAUUCGUCAUAGACUUAAACUUCCAAAACUUCUUUGUGAUUCUCGGUCUGACCAAUUCCUCCAUUGCGGUCCUACCAAGAUCACUAAGUCGAUCUAGGUUUUCAAUCUCGGUGCAACCGAUUUGAAUAUUUUGGUCACACCGAGUUGCUGUAACGUUAUACAGUUAUGCAUCUCGGUGCCACCCAGUUGUUCCACUCAGUCACACCGACAGGGUCGGGCUAUAUAUACUCACGGGCAAAAAUUUGGAAAUUUUCUCCAAACCCCUUCGCCCGCGCAUAGCUUGCUCUGCCUACUAGGUCUCCGGAUUGUCUCCUCGUCGCCAACCGCCUCCUGUUGCUGGUCUCCGCCGCUGUCAACGGAAUUCACCCCCGCCGUUGCCGCCAUAGCGAGUUCAUCGCCAAGCUAGGGUAUGGACUCGAUCACAGUGCUAUCCCCGUCCGAUUCCUAGCACAUUGUGAUCAUUAUGAUUCUUGCCACGAUUGAAACACUCCUAUCCAGUCAAUACAAUCCUUAGAAUAGACGCGAUUUGAAAAUUUAGGGUUAGGUUUCCGCCGAAACCAUCUCGGACCCACCGGGUUGAAAAACUCGGUCCCACCGAUUUGGCUAACGCCAUUGCACUAGUAACUCUCGGUAUGACCGAGAAUUGCUAAUCGGUGUGACCGAUUUAAAACUUUGUGAAACCCUAGCAGUCUUGGUGCCAUCGAACUGUGACUCGGUCCGACCGAGUUCACUAGUUUAGGUUCCAAAACUGCGUUGGUAUCACCUAGUUUGAAAAUUGGUUGAUCCGAAAUGCUUUAUGUGGAAAACUAAAACUAAGUUUUUGAAUCAUUUUUUGCAAAAAUAUCUGCAUUUUGUGAUGCUCAUCCACUCUAUCUCAUCUAUAACUAUUCACAGGGUCAGCAGUCAGAGUUUGCAGCAUGCCAGACCAAAGUGAUAGUCAGAACAAGUCAGAAGAGCACAAUCACAUGAGUGAGGGCACUAGUCCCUCUAGCACUUCAGAUGAUGGCAGCAGGAGCACCCCAAGAAAUUUGCCUAAAGCUGCCACCAGGACAAGGAAGAAGAGAACCUUAGAAUCUGAGGAUGAGGAUUAUAUGGCAGAAGAAGAUGAGGCUACUUCCAAGAAGGUAGUGCUAAAAAGGAGUAUGCCUCAGCAAAGAACACAAAGCCUGGACUCAAUAGGAAGGUCCCUGCCAAGAGGACACCUAUGUUGAAGGUCAGAGGAUCAACUCAAGUGCCUGAAAAGCUAGAUCCCAAAGAGGCACAUGCAAGAAGAGUUACAACUUCCAAACCCAAGAAGGUUCCCACUGGAGAAACCAUGAAGUUUACCAUUGAAUCAGAAGAUGAAGCUGCAGGUCAAGAUAAGAAGAAGAAGAGAGCCAGAACCACUACUGCCAAGGUUCUUGGCAACCCCUCUAUGAGGAGAGACUCUGAGGAGGAGGAAGAAGAGGUUGAUGCACCAGCACCCAAGGCACAAAAGCUGAUGGGUGAUGCUAUAAAGUCAGGGGCUGCAACAUCAAAGCCCAAGGAAGCACCCAAAGCUGCCCCCAAGCCCAAGAUUGCACCAAAGAGGAAUACAAGGAGUAUUCCAGCUGCUGAGAAGAACAAGGCUCCAGUGCCAUAAGUUGCUGAUGAGGAAGAUGAUGAAGGACAAGUCCUGAGGAAGCUAAAGCCAAAGAUUCCAGACCACAAUGAUGCUCAUCCUGUGGCUGAGAAUAUGAAGUUAAGAAAGGAUGCAGGACUCAGACUGUGGAGGCUAUCAGAUCCAUAUGCUACCAGGAGAAGGACUGAUGUUGAUUACAAGUUCCACAGUAAGGAACAACAGGACUUCUAUGAGACAGUGUUGUUGGACAAGAAUCCUAUAGUGUGUUAUAUGAGGUGGGUCGACUGGACCUACAUGAAGGAAAAUGAAGAACACUAUCCUGGAGUGCAAGAUAGUUUCAUUGCUUGUGGAGUUGCAGACUUUGUUGGGCAGAAGCUCACAAAGUGGAAUGAUGAGCUCAUUAUGCAAUUCUAGUCCACAACACAUUUCCAUCCAGAUGACAGGAUAGUUUGGAUGUCUGAAGGUACAAGGUACCAGUCAACCAUUGAGGAAUGGGCCAAUCUGAUCAAUGCCCCAAAGGAGAGUGAAGAUGACUUGGAUGUCUAUGCCAAGAAGAAGAUGGAUCACAAUACCAUGGCUCAUAUGUACAAGGAGAUCCCAGAUGCUGCAGUUGAGACACAUAAGUUUGGGUCAGUUCAUUUUCUUCUGUCAGGGCUGCCAACGAUCAACUGGAUCCUAAGACACACUCUUUUGCCCAAGUCAGGUGACCACAACAUGAUUAGAGGGCAUGCUAUAAACUUGCUACAUUUGUUUGAUGUGCCACAGAAAUUCAAGGUCAUGAGCCUCAUUGUUGAGACCAUUAAGAGGACAACAGUAGACCAGAAGAGAAGUUGUGGAUAUGCCCCACAGAUUCAGGAGUUGAUUAACUCAAAGAUGGGCACAGGCACAUACUUGCUGGACAAGGAACACUUUGCUAUCUAUCCAGACUUUGAGGACAAUCAAGUUGUGAUGAAUGAGAAUGAACCAUCAUCAGUGCAAGCUCAAGAGAAGAAGGAGAGAGCAAAGAAAGAGAAGGAUGCCAAGAUGCCAACUCAAGAGGAGGCAUCUGAGUACUUUUUGAAGAGCAAGCAGGAGCAGCUUGGUUACUUGAUAGCAUCAACACUGAGGAUUGAGAAGGGGUUGGCCACUCUAACUCAAAACCAGGAGAGCCUGGAAAGAAUCAUGGAACAAAAAUUCUAUGAUCUAGAUGUCAAAGUAACUGAGAUUCAGUCAGUUGUGGAGCAGCUACAGGAUGACAUGCAGGAGAGGAAGGGCAAGACAACCACUGAUGCAUUUGCCAGAGUGCCUAAAGCUCAGAGAUCAGCUGCAGUGCCUGUGACAGACACCAGAGCCACAUCAUCUGCACCAGCUACAGCUCCUACAGCUCCAGUGCAACCAGCUCCAGCACCAACUCCUCCAACUUCAUCCACAUCAACUGAAGCCUUUGUCCAAGGAGCUAUCUCUACACCACCACCUGAAGAUCAAGCCUGAGAGUCGAUCUAGCACUAUGCAUUUUGUAUGAACUUUUUGCUAAGUUGUUGCCAAAGGGGGAGAAAAAUGUAUAGAUCAUAGGCUUCGAGAGAGAGAGUGUGUGUUGCCUUUUUGUUCUCUCUUGCUUUGGUGGUUAAACUUUGUUUGCUUUUGAUUUCUUGAGAUAAUAUGCUAUUAUCUGUGAGACUUUGAUGAUCAUGUGUUUGAUCAUAAGCUACACUUAUGCUUGUAGAUGAUAUUAUCCUACCUAUCCUUAUAUGAUCAUUCACUUUGCUUGGUGAUGAAUGCAUGUAUUUAAUCUUUAUUAUUUUGAGCGCUCCACCAAGAUGUAUGUGACAUGGAAGAGUAACCCAUGAGCCUAAUUCCUUGUGCAUUUGCAGUCCAAAGCAAAUCUUAAACUAUGCACAAACUUAGGGGGAGCUCUUGCUUAUCACAUACUUCUCAAAGCGAUGAUGUUUUUCAAUCUUAUUAUCAUUUGUAGAAGCUUUGAUCUAUAUGUUGUCAUCAAUUACCAAAAAGGGGGAGAUUGAAAGUGCAACUAUCCCUAGGUGGUUUUGGUAAUUCAUAACAACAUAUAGCUCAUUGAGCUAAUGCUAUUCCAAGACAAAUAUUUCAGGAAAGCUCAAUGAAUGGCAUGGCAUGGAUGAUGAAAGUGGAUCCCUCAAAAUAUCAAGGACAAAGGAUUGGCUCAAGCACAAAAGCUCAAGACUCUUCAUUUUACAUUUUAGUGAUCCAAGAUCACAUUGAGUCUAUAGGAAAAGCCAAUACUAUCAAGGAGGGAUGAGGUGUUCCUUAAUGAGCCUCUUGCUUCAAAGUGCUUAGUGAUAUGCUCCGAAAACCCUCAACUACUUUCUCACAUCCACAUAUGACCUAAACCCAAAGUUAAAAUCGGUCCCACCGAUUCUUUCUAUCCGGCGCCACCGAGUUCAUUUGUCAUAGCCACUGCCACAAACCCUACGCAAAUCGGUCUCACCGAUAGGGAUCUUGGUCUCACCGAGAUGGGAUUGUAAUCUCUCUGUUUCCCUUUGUAACGUUUUGGUAUAAUCGAAGUGAGCGAUCAGUCCCACUAAGAUUGCAAUGUAAACUCCUUGUUUCCCUUUCGUAACAUUUCGGUCUCACCGAAAUGAGCGAAUCGGUCCCACCGAGUUUACCUGACCAACUCUCUGGAAAGCUUAUUACCAAAAUCGGUCUCACUGAGUUUGUGUAAUCGGUCUCACCGAGAUUACGUUAUGCCCUAACCCUAACCAUAUCGGUCCUACCGAGUUGCAUGUCGGUCCCACCGAAAAUCCUAAUGGUCACUAGGUUUACUAAAUCGGUCUGACCGAGUCUGUUGAAUCGGUUCCACCGAGUUUGGUAAAUUGUGUGUAAUGGUUAGAUUUUGUGUGGAGGCUAUAUAUACCCCUCCACCUCCUCUUCAUUCAUGGAGAGAGCCUUCAGACUGAACCUACACUUCCAACUUACCAUUUCCGAGAGAGAACUACCUACUCAUGUGUUGAGGCCAAGAUAUUCCAUUCCUACCAUAUGAAUCUUGAUCUCUAGCCUUCCCCAAGUUGCUUUCCACUCAAAUCUUCUUUCCACCAGAUCCAAAUCCUAUGAGAGAGAGUUGAGUGUUGGGGAGACUAUCAUUUGAAGCACAAGAGCAAGGAGUUCAUCAUCAACGCACCAUUUGUUACUUCUUGGAGACUGGUGUCUCCUAGAUUGGCUAGGUGUCACUUGGGAGCCUCCGACAAGAUUGUGGAGUUGAACCAAGGAGUUUGUAAGGGCAAGGAGAUCGCCUACUUUGUGAAGAUCUACCGCUAGUGAGGCAAGUCCUUCGUGGGUGACGAUCAUGGUGGGAUAGACAAGGUUGCUUCUUCAUGGACCCUUCGUGGUUGGAGCGCUCCGUGGACUCGCGCAACCAUUACCCUUCGUGGGUUGAAGUCUCCAUCAAUGUGGAUGUACGAUAGCACCACCUAUCGGAACCACGACAAAAACAUCUGUGUCUCCAAUUGCGUUUGAAUCCUCCAAACCCUUCCCUUUACAUUCUUGCAAGUUGCAUGCUUUAAUUUCCGCUGCUCAUAUACUCUUUGCAUGCUUGCUUGAUUUGUGUGAUGAUUGCUUAACUUGUCCAAAGAUAGCUAAAAUCUGCCAAACUCUAAAAUUGGGAAAAGGUUAAGUUUUUAAUUGGUCAAGUAGUCUAAUCACCCCCCCCCCUCUAGACAUACUUCAAGGUCCUACAGACUAGCUCUUUGUCACCUCCAUAAACGAGAAAUUCAGGUAUUUCAGGAUAUUCUUGACCGAUGUCCAGUGAUCCACUCCUGGAUUACUUUGGUACCUACCUGCCAAGCUUAUUGCUAAGCAUACGUCAAGUCUGGUACACAGCAUUGCAUACAUGAUAGAGCCUAUGGCUGAAGCAUAGGGAACAUCUUUCAUUUUCUCUCUAUCUUCUGUUGUGGUCGGGCAUUGAGUCUGACUCAACUUCACACCUUGUAAUACAGGCAAGAACACUUUCUUUGCCUGAUCCAUUUUGAACUUUUUCAAAACUUUAUCAAGGUAUGUGCUUUGUGAAAGUCCAAUUAAGCGUCUUGAUCUAUCCCUAUAGAUCUUGAUGCCCAAUAUGUAAGCAGCUUCACCGAGGUCUUUCAUCAAAAAACUUUUAUUCAAGUAUCCCUUUAUGCUAUCCAGAAAUUCUAUAUCAUUUCCAAUUAACAAUAUGUCAUCUACAUAUAAUAUCAGAAAUGCUACAGAGCUCCCACUCACUUUCUUGUAAAUACAGGCUUCUCCAAAAGUCUAUAUAAAACCAUAUGCUUUGAUCACAGUAUCAAAGCAUUUAUUCCAACUCCGAGAGGCUUGCACUAGUCCAUAAAUGGAUCGCUGGAGCUUGCACACUUUGUUAGCACCUUUUGGAUCGACAAAACCUUCCGGCUGCAUCAUAUACAACUCUUCUUCCAGAAAUCCAUUCAGGAAUGCAGUUUUGUCAUCCAUUUGCCAAAUUUCAUAAUCAUAAAAUGCGGCAAUUGCUAACAUGAUUCAGGCAAACUUAAGCAUCGCUACGGGUGAGAAAGUCUCAUCGUAGUCAACCCCUUGAACUUGUCGUAAACCUUUCGCAACAAGUCAAGCUUUGUAGACAGUUACAUUACCAUCAGCGUUAGUCUUCUUUUUGAAGAUCCAUUUAUUCUUGAUGGCUUGCCGAUCAUGGGGCGAGUCAACCAAAGUCCAUACUUUGUUCUCAUACAUGGAUCCCAUCUCAGAUUUCAUGGCCUCUAGCCAUUUUGCGGAAUCUGGGCUCAUCAUCACUUCCUCAUAGUUCGUAGGUUCGCCAUGGUCAAGUUACAUGACUCCAGAAUAGGAUUACCGUACCACUCCGAUGCGGAUCUUACUCUGGUUGACCUACGAGGUUCGGUAGUAACUUGAUCUGAAGUUUCAUGAUCAAUAUCAUUAGCUUCCUCACUGAUUGGUGUAGUUGUCACAGGAACCGGUUCUUGUGAUGAACUACUUUCCAAUAAGGGAGCAGGUACAGUUACCUCAUCAAGUUCUACUUUCCUCCCACUCACUUCUUUCGAGAGAAACUCCUUCUCUAGAAAGGAUCCAAAUUUAGCAACCAAAAUCUUGCCCUCAGACCUGUGAUAGAAGGUGUACCCAAUAGUCUCUUUCGGGUAUCCUAUGAAGACACAUUUCUCCAAUUUGGUUUCAAGCUUAUCUGGUUGAAGUUUCUUCACAUAAGCAUCGCAGCCCCAAACUUUAAGAAACGACAACUUUGGUUUCUUGCCAAACCAUAGUUCAUAAGGCGUCGUUUCAACGGAUUUUGAUGGUGCCCUAUUUAACGUGAAUGUGGCCGUCUCUAAAGCAUAACCCCAAAAUGAUAGCGGUAAAUCAGUAAGAGACAUCAUAGAUCGCACCAUAUCUAGUAAAGUACGAUUACGAUGUUCGGACACACCAUUUCGUUGUGGUGUUCCAGGUGGCGUGAGUUGUGAAACUAUUCCGCAUUGCUUCAAAUGUAAACAAAACUCGUAACUCAAAUAUUCUCCUCCACGAUCAGAUCGUAGAAAUUUUAUUUUCUUGUUACGAUGAUUUUCCACUUCACUCUGAAAUUCUUUGAACUUUUCAAAUGUUUCAUACUUGUGUUUCAUCAAGUAGAUAUACCCAUAUCUGCUCAAAUCAUCUGUGAAGGUGAGAAAAUAAUGAUACCCGCCGCGAGCCUCAAUAUUCAUUGGACCACAUACAUCAGUAUGUAUGAUUUCCAAUAAAUCAGUUACUCGCUCCAAAGUUCCGGAGAACGGUGUUUUAGUCAUCUUGCCCAUGAGGCACGGUUCGCAAGUACCAAGUGAUGCAUAAUCAAGUGAUUCCAGAAGUCCAUCAGUAUGGAGUUUCUUCAAGCGCUUUACACCAAUAUGACCCAAACGGCAGUGCCACAAAUAAGUUGCACUAUCAUUAUCAACUCUGCAUCUUCUGGCGUCAACAUUAUGAAUAUGUGUAUCACUACUAUCGAGAUUUAAUAAAAAUAGACCACUCUUCAAGGGUGCAUGACCAUAAAAGAUAUUACUCAUAUAAAUAGAACAACCAUUAUUCUAUGAUUUAAAUGAAUAGCCGUCUUGCCUCAAACAAGAUCCAGAUAUAAUGUUCAUGCUCAACGCUGGCAGCAAAUAACAAUUAUUCAGGUCUAAAACUAAUCCCGAUGGUAGAUGUAGAGGUAGCGUGCCGACCGCGAUCACAUCGACUUUGGAACCAUUUCCCACGCGCAUCGUCACCUCGUCCUUAGCCAAUCUUCGCUUAAUCUGUAGUCCCUGUUUCGAGUUGCAAAUAUUAGCAACAGAACCAGUAUCAAAUACCUAGGUGCUACUGCGAGCAUUAGUAAGGUACACAUCAAUAACAUGUAUAUCACAUACACCUUUGUUCACUUUGCCAUCCUUCUUAUCCGCCAAAUACUUGGGGCAGUUCUGCUUCCAGUGUCCAGUCUACUUGCAGUGGGAGCACUCAGUCUCAGGCUUAGGUCCAGACUUGGGUUUCUUCUCUUGAGCAGCAACUUGUUUGCUAUUCUUCUUGAAGUUCCCUUUCUUCUUCCCUUUGCCCUUUUUCUUGAAACUGCUGGUCUUAUUGACCAUCAACACUUGAUGCUCCUUCUUGAUUUCUACUUCCGCAACCUUUAGCAUUGCGAAGAGCUCGGGAAUAGUCUUGUCCAUCCCUUGCAUAUUAUAGUUCAUCAUGAAGCUCUCGUAGCUUGGUGGCAGUGAUUGAAGAAUUCUGUCAAUGACACUAUCAUCAGGAAGAUUAACUCCUAGUUGAAUCAAGUGAUUAUUAUACCCAGACAUUUUGAGUAUAUGUUCACUGACAGAACUAUUCUCCUCCAUCUUACAACUAUAGAACUCAUUGGAGACUUCAUAUCUCUCAAUCCGGGCAUUUUCUUGAUAUAUUAACUUCAACUCCUGGAACAUUUCAUAUGCUCUAUGACGUUCAAAACAUCGUUGAAGACCCGGUUCCAAGACGUAAAGCAUGGCACACUGAACUAUCGAGUACUCAUCAGCUUUGCUCUGCCAGACGUUCUUAACGUCGUUAGUUGCAUCUGCAGCAGGCCUGGCACCUAGCGGUGCUUCAAAGAUGUAGUUCUUUUGUGCAGCAAUGAGGAUAAUCCUCAGGUUACAGACUCAGUCCGUGUAAUUGCUACCAUCAUCUUUCAACUUAGAUUUCUCAAGGAACCAUUAAAAUUUAACGGAACAAAUAGCACGAGCCAUCUAUCUACAACAAACAUAAACAAGCAAAAUACUAUCAGGUACUAAGUUCAUGAUAAAUUUAAGUUCAAUUAAUAAUAUUACUAAAGAACUCCCACGUAGACAAACAUCUCUCUAGUCAUCUAAGUGAUCACGUGAUCCAAAUCAACUAAACCAUGUCCGAUCAUCACGUGAGAUGGAGUAGUUUCAAUGGUAAACAUCACUAUGUUGAUCAUAUCUACUAUAUGAUUCACGUUCGACCUUUCGGUGUCCGUGUUCCAAGGCCAUAUAUGUAUAUGCUAGGCUCAUCAAGUUUAACAUGAGUAUUCCGCAUGUGCAACUGUUUUGCAUCCGUUAUAUUUGAACGUAGAGCCUAUCACACCCGAUCAUCACGUGGUGUCUCAGCACGAAGAACUUUCGCAACGGUGCAUACUCAGGAAGAACACUUCUUGAUAAUUAGUGAGAGAUCAUCUUAAAAAUGCUACCGUCAAUCAAAGCAAGAAAAGAUGCAUAAAGGAUAAACAUCACAUGCAAUCAAUAUAAGUGAUAUGAUAUGGCCAUCAUCAUCUUAUGCUUGUGAUCUCCAUCUCCGAAGCACCGUCGUGAUCACCAUCGUCACUAGCGCGACACCUUGAUCUCCAUCGUAGCAUCUUUGUCGUUUACGCCAUCUAUUGCUUCUACAACAGUCGCUACCGCUUAGUGAUAAAGUAAAGCAUUUACAGGGCGUUUGCAUUUCAUACAAUAAAGCGACAACCAUAUGGCUCCUGCCAGUUGCCGAUAAAUUCAGUUACAAAACAUGAUCAUCUCAUACAAUAAAAUAUAGCAUCACGUCUUGACCAUAUCACAUCACAGCAUGCCCUGCAAAAACAAGUUAGACGUCCUCUACUUUGUUGUUGCAAAUUUUACGUGGCUGCUACGGGCUGAGCAAGAACCGUUCUUACCUACGCAUCAAAACCACAAUGAUAGUUCGUCAAGUUAGUGUUGUUUUAACCUUCGCAAGGAUCGAGCAUAGCCAUACUCGGUUCAACUAAAGUGAGAGAGACAGACACCCGCCAGUCACCUUUAAGCAACGAGUGCUCGUAACGGUAAAACCAGUCUUGCGUAAGCAUACGAGUAAUGUCGGUCCAGGCCGCUUCAUCUCACAAUACCGCUGAACCAAAGUAUGGCAUGCGGGUAAGCAGUAUGACUUGUAUCGCCCACAACUCACUUGUGUUCUACUCGUGCAUAUGACAUCUAUGCAUAAAACCUGGCUCUGAUACCACUGUUGGGGAAUGUAGUAAUUUCAAAAAAAUUCCUACGCACACGCAAGAUCAUGGUGAUGCAUAGCAAUGAGAGGGGAGAGUGUUGUCCACGUACCCUCGUAGACCGAAAGCGGAAGCAUUAGAACAACGCGGUUGAUGUAGUCGUACAUCUUCAUGGCCCGACCGAUCAAGCACCGAAACUACGGCACCUUCGAGUUCUAGCACAUGUUCAGCUCGAUGACGAUCCCCGGACUCCGAUCCAGUAGAGUGUCGGGGAAGAGUUCCGUCAGCACGACGGUGUGGUGACGAUCUUGAUGUUCUACCGUCGUAGGGCUUCGCCUAAGCACCGCUACAAUAUUAUCGAGGACUUUGGUGGAGGGGGCACCGCACACGGCUAAGAGAUCAAGAGAUAAAUUAUUGUGUCUAUGGGGUGCCCCCUCCCCCGUAUAUAAAGGAGUGGAGGAUAGGGGGCCGGCCAAGGGGGUGGCGCGCCCUAGGGGGGGGAGUCCAACCCGAACCGGGAGUAGGACUCCCCCCUUUCCUAUUAGGAGUAGGAGAGCGAAGGAAGAGGGGGAGGGAAGAAGGAAAGGGGGGACGGGCCCCCUCCCAAUUCGGAUUGGACUUGGGGGGGCGCCCCCUCCUUUGCUCCUUCUCCCUCCUUUCCACUGAGGCCCAAUAAGGCCCAUAUACCUCCCGGGGGGUUCCGAUAACCUCCCGGAGAUCCGGUAUUAUCCCAAUCUCACCCGGAACCUUUCCGGUGUCCAAAUAUAGUCGUCCAAUAUAUCGAUCUUUAUGUCUCGACUAUUUCGAGACUCCUCGUCAUGUCCGUGAUCACAUCCGGGACUCCGAACAACCUUCGGUACAUCAAAACUCAUAAACUCAUAAUAAAACUGUCAACGAAACUUUAAGCGUGCGGACCCUACGGGUUCGAGAACUAUGUAGACAUGACCUAGAACUGUUUCCGGUCAAUAACCAAUAGCGGAACCUGGAUGCUCAUAUUGGCUCCUACGUAUUCUACGAAGAUCUUUAUCGGUCAAACCGCACAACAACAUACAUUGUUCCCUUUGUCAUCGGUAUGUUACUUGCCUGAGAUCUGAUCGUCGGUAUCUCAAUACCUAGUUCAAUCUCGUUACUAGCAAGUCUCUUUACUCGUUACAUAAUGCCUCAUUCCGUAACUAACUCUUUAGCUACAUUGCUUGCAAGGCUUAUAGUGAUGUGCAUUACCGAGAGGGCCCAGAGAUACCUCUCCGACAAUCGGAGUGACAAAACCUAAUCUCAAAAUACGCCAACUCAACAUGUACCUUUGGAGACACCUGUGGAGCUCCUUUAUAAUCACUCAAUUACGUUGUGACGUUUGGUAGCACACAAAGUGUUCCUCCGGUAAACGGGACUUGCAUAAUCUCAUAGUUGUAGGAACUUGUAUAAGUCAUGAAGAAAGCAAUAGCAACAUACUAAACGAUCAAGUGCUAAGCUAACGGAAUGGGUCAAGUCAAUCACAUCAUUCUCCUAAUGAUGUGAUCCCGUUAAUCAAAUGACAACACAUGUCUAUGGUUAGGAAACAUAACCAUCUUUGAUUAAUGAGCUAGUCAAGUAGAGGCAUACUAGUGACGUUAAGUUUGUCUAUGUAUUCACACAUGUAUCAUGUUUCCGGUUAAUACAAUUCUAGCAUGAAUAAUAAACAUUUAUCAUGAUAUGAGGAAAUAAAUAAUAACUUUAUUAUUGCCUCUAGGGCAUAUUUUCUUCAGUGAGAUCCAUCAACACCUGGGCAGGCGAGCGCACAGGGCCUCCUGCCCCGGCUGCUGCUGACCCGAGGUUAUGGCUGCUGCUGUUGUGGAGUCUUGGAUAGGUUGUGUGCCGGCCAUGAAGAUCCCAACCCUGCUCGGUGGUUCGAAGCAAUCCGGAAUACUGCUGCCAUCAGAACAGCCCCCAAGCCCGCCAUCUUGCAGUUGAUAUAAUGAAUCUGUCUCACCUGUGGAUGACCCUCCAUCAGAGUAGAUGGUCGUCUCACCGCCAGAUGUAGAUCCUUCAGAGAGCCCUUCAUGGAUGCAUCCCACGAAGGCACACUUCACGGCAGGCGGAGCCCGGGCGGGUCUCGCACACUGAGCCGUCUCGAUGAGGUCGGUGCAGAUGUCCGGCUCAAGGCCCGGUUCAUCGAUCGUGCCGAUGAAGACGUGAAUUCCGCCGAAGGGGACCCGGUACCCGUACUCAAUUGAGACGGUGUCGGGACCCCAGCCUCCGUCAUCGAUGUAGAGCUUGCCGCGAUGACUCUUGGUCAUCCGGCCCACAGCGUAUCCCUUGAGCCCUUUGAAGCUCCCCUUCAAGAACUCAAAUUCACUGUGCACUGGCCCCAUGAUGGGCGCUAGCUGUCGUGGAAUUGUCACGGCAGAUGUCCUAGUAAAAGGACUUCGUCAUGGAGCCAUCGUAACUAGGAAGCUUGAAGGAGUUAAUCGGGACAAAGGACAUGAGGUUUAUACUGGUUCGGCCCCUUACGAUCAAGGUAAAAGCCUACGAUCCAGUUUUGAGUGGGAUUGCUUAUGUCUCGAUAACCAGGGGGCAAAUCGCUUGACCUAGAUCUCGAGUUGAUGUUACUGUUGGGGAACGUAGCAGAAAUUCAAAAUUUUCUAUGCAUCACCAAGAUCAAUCUAUGGAGAUUCUAGCAACAAGAGAGAGGGGAGUGUAUCUUCAUACCCUUGAAGAUCGCGAAGCGGAAGCGUUACAAGAACGCGGUCGGUGGAGUCGUUCACGAAGCGAUUCAGAUCGCGGCCGUAUCCGAUCUAAGCACCGAACAAUGGUGCCUCCACGUUCAACACAUGUCGGGGGUUGGGUGCGACAUAUGCCAAAGGAUGGCUUAUCAUGGUGGGAGCGAGUAGAACAUCGCCGGUGCCAGGAAACGGAAUUAGGCGAAGACAUGCACGCCGGCGGAUCUUACCCAGCUUCGGGGCUCUCUGAGGAGAUAACACCCCUACUGCUGCUCUGCGGGGUCUCCGCAUGAUCACUAAGGCAAAGUGAGUACAAGGUUACUCCUCGAGCUGUAUUCUGGAGGUAGGAGAAGGCAGGGCCAGCUCUCUCCUUCCUAUUUGCUAUGGCCUAGUGCUAAUGGAUUCGAACCCUUUGCAUGGGUGCCCCGGCAGGGUUAUAUAGGCCUACCCCCGGGGGGUACAAUGGUAAUCCGGCUGGGCGCGGGUCUAAGCCGUCUGUCUCACAGGCCGCCGUCUUCUCCGCCGACUGCUGGGGCCCGCCGACUGGCGGGCCCCGCCGACGGUCCCGAUACUGUAACCGUGCUUCUGAUGACGCAGGCUUGGUCAUGGGGUCGUGGCAAUAGUGCCACCGUCUAUUGAACGAUCACUGUCGCCAUUCCCCGUCUUGUCUGGUUAAUGGUGAGUGGGGCCCGUGGGAGGGGCCGGCCAACUCCAGGGGGCCGACUCCCAUGGAUCCGUCUUCGGGCGUACCCGCCAUCUUCUGUGCUCUCGCUGACGGGCGGGUCCUGCCGUCUCUGGGUCGUAUAGGUAGGCCGACGUGGGCACAGUGCGCCGCCCACUGAGGCUGAGGUCAAGGAAGGCAUGACAACAGUGCCGCGCCUCGAUGGAGAUCUCCAGCGAUAUGGCGCACUGUAGCCAUGCCAGCUCCUCGUAAGCAGGGGGUGACGGCCACGCUGUGACCGUACCCCGCCCCGCCUAUCGUGGCGAAGGUAGGUGACGGGUGGAGUCGCGGGCCAACUCUCUAUAGCCGGCUUCUCUGGAAGUCGCCGGCCAUGAGUCGGCAUAUCUUGGAGUCGCCGCCUGGGACUCGGCUUAUCUUGGAGUCGCCGCCCGGGACUCGGCUUAUCUUGGAGUCGCGCCUGGGACUCGGCUCUUCUUGGAGUUUCGCCUGGGACUCGGCUUGAGGGGCACAGCCUGCCCCGAUGUCUUGAAAGGCUCUGGGGCUCGGGUUAGCCUACCCGUGGCCCAUUACGCCGACAACACACGUACAGCCCGGGGACGUCUCCUCCUUCUUGAUCCAGCAAGGGGAGAGAAGAAGUUGAGGGAAAACUCCAACAGCACGACAGCAUGGUGGUGAUGGAGCUCGUGGUUCUCCGGCAGGGCUUCGCCAAGCACUACGGAGGAGGAGGAGGUGUUGGAGGAGGGAGAGGACUGCGCCAGGGGAAGGGUGCGGCUGCCCUCUCUCUCCCUCACUAUAUAUAGGGGGAAGGGAGGAGGGGCAGGCACCCUACGGUUCCCUAGGGGAGGGGCGGCGGCCACAGGGGAAACCCUAGAUGGGUUUGGGCGCCCCCACCCCCUAGGAAACUUGCCCCCCAAGCCGGGAGGGGCGGCUGCCCUAGGGGUGGCGCCCCCACCUCUCAUGGUUACGUGAGAUGGGGUGGGAGGGGCGCUCAGCCCCUUAGUGGGCUGACGUGCCCUCUCCCCUUGGCCCAUAAGGCCCCCCAACGCUUGCCGGGGCCUCCGAAACCCCUUUCGGACACGCUGGUCAUCACCUGGUAGCCCCGGAAUAAUUCCGGACUCCAAUACCCUUCGUCCAAUAUACCGAUCUUCACCUCCGGACCAUUCCGGAGCUCCUCGUCAUGUCUGGGCUCUCAUCCGGGACUCCGAACAACCUUCGGUAACCACAUACUAUUUCCCAUAACAACUCUAGCGUCACCGAACCUUAAGUGUGUAGACCCUACGGGUUCGGGAACCAUGCAGACAUGACUGAGACGUUCUCCGGUCAAUAACCAACAGCGGGAUCUGGAUACCCAUGUUUGCUCCCACAUGUUCCAUGAUGAUCUCAUCGGAUGAACCAUGAUGUCAAGGAUUCAAGCAAUCUCGUAUGCAAUUCCCUUUGUCAAUCGGUAUGUUACUUGCCCGAGAUUCGAUCGUCGGUAUCCCAAUACCACAUUCAAUCUCGUUACCGGAAAGUCACUUUACUCGUUCCAUAAUGCAUGAUCCCGUGACUAACUACUUAGUCACAUUGAGGUCAUUAUGAUGAUGCAUUACCGAGUGGGCCCAGAGAUACCUCUCCGUCAUACGGAGUGACAAAUCCCAGUCUCGAUUCGUGCCAACCCAACAGACACUUUCGGAGAUACCCGUAGUGCACCUUUAUAGCCACCCAGUUACGUUGUGACGUUCGGUACACCUAAAGCACUCCUACGGUAUCAGGGAGUUACACAAUCUCAUGGUCUAAGGAAAUGAUACUUGACAUUAGAAAAGCUUUAGCAAACGAACUACACGAUCUUGUGCUAUGCUUAGGAUUGGGUCUCGUCCAUCACAUCAUUCUCCUAAUGAUGUGAUCCCGUUAUCAAUGACAUCCAAUGUCCAUGGUCAAGAAACCAUGACCAUCUGUUGAUCAACGAGCUAGUCAACUAGAGGCUCACUAGGGACAUGUUGUGGUCUAUGUAUUCACACAUGUAUUACGGUUACCAGUUAAUACAAUUAUAGCAUGAACAAUAGACAAUUUUCAUGAACAAGGAAAUAUAAUAAUAACCAUUUUAUUAUUGCCUCUAGGGCAUAUUUCCAACAGUCUCCCACUUGCACUAGAGUCAAUAAUCUAGUUCACAUCAUUAUGUGAUUGAAUUGAAUCCAACACCCAUAGUGUUUGAUCAUAUAUCGCUUGUGAGAGAGGUUUAUUAGUCAAAGAGUCUGAAUCUUUCAGAUCCGUGUGUGCUUUACAAAUCUGUAUGUCAUCUCCUAAAUGCAGCUACCACGCGCUAUUUGGAACUAUUCCAAAUAACUGCUCUACUAUAUGAACCCAGUCUACUACUCAGAGUCAUCCAGAUUAGUGUCAAAGUUUGCAUUGGCGUAACCCUUUACGAUGAACUCUUUUACCACCUCCAUAAUCGAGAAAAUUCCUUAGUCCACUAGUUACUAAUGAUAACCUUGACCGUUGUCCUGUGAUCCAUUCCUAGAUCACACUUGUACCCCUUGAUUGACUCAUGGGAAGGCACACUUUAGGUGCGGUACACAUCAUAGCAUACUAUGGAGCCUGCAUCUAAAGCAUAGGGGACGACCUUCGUCCUUUCUCUCUCUCUUCUGAUGUGGUCAGGUCUUGAGUCUUACUCAAUACUCCACACCUUAUAACACAGCCAAGAACUCAUUCUUUGUCGAUCUAUUUUGAACUCCUUCAAAAUCUUGUCACGGUGUGUACUCAUUUGAAAGUACUAUCAAGCGAUUUUGAUCUAUCCUUAUAGAUCUUGAUGCUCAAUGUUCAAGUAGCUUAAUCCAGGUUUUCCAUUGAAAAAAACUUUUCAAAUAACCCUAUAUGCUUUCCAGAAAUUGUACAUCAUUUUCGGUCAACAAUAUGUCAACAACAUAUGCUCAUCAGAAAUGCUAUAGUGCUCCCACUCACUUCUUUGGAAAUACAAGUUUCUCAUAAACUUUGUAUAAACCCAAAAUCUUUGAUCAUCUCAUCAAAGCGUAUAUUCCAACUCUGAGAUGCUUACUCCAGUCCUUAGAAGGAUUGCUGGAGCUUUGCAUACUUGUUAGCAUCUUUUAGGAUUGUCAAAACCUUCUGGUUGUAUCAGAUACAACCUUUCCUCAAGAAAAUCGUUGAGGAAACUAAAUUUUGACAUCCUAUAUACAAGAUUUCAUAAAUAAUGCAGUAGCUACUAAUAUAAUUCUAACAGACUCUUAGCAUCGCUACGAGUGAGAAAGUAUCAUCGUAGUCAACUCCUUGAACUUGUCGGAAAACAUCUCAGCGACAAGUCGAGCUUUGUUAAUGGUGACACUUACCAUCAUUGUGUGUCUUCCCUUUUAAAAUCCAUCUGUAGCCAACAGCCUUAUGACCAUCAAGUAGUUCUUCCAAAGUCUACACUUUGUUUUAUACAUGGAUCUUCUCUCGGAUUUUAUGGCCUCGAGCCAUUUGUCGGAAUCCGGGCCCACCAUCGCUUCUCCAUAGCUUGUAGGUUCAUUGUUGUCUAUCAACAUGAACUCCAAGACAGCAUUAAUGUACCACUCUGAAGCAGUACGCGUCCUUGUCGUCCUACGAGGUUCGACAGUGACUUGAUCCGAGGCAUCAUGAUCACUAUCAUCAGCUUCCACUUCAAUUGGUGUAGGUGCCAUAGGAACAACUUCCUGUGCCCUGCUACACACUAGUUGUAGUGACGGUUCAAUAACCAUAUCAAGUCUCCACCAUCCUCCCACUCAAUUCUUUCGAGAGAAACUUUUCCUCGAGAAAGGACCUAUUACUAGAAACAAUCACUUUUGCUUCCGGAUCUGAAAUAGGAGGUAUACCCAACUGUUUUGGGUGUCCUAUGAAGAUGUAUUUAUCCUCUUUCGGUUCGAGCUUAUCAGGAUGAAACUCUUUUUUUUCACAUAAGCGUCGUAGCCCCAAACUUUCAAGAAAUGUCAGCUUAGGUUUCUCUAAACCAUAGUUCAUACGGUGUCAUCUCAACGGAAUUACAUGGUGCCCUAUUUAAAGUGAAUGUGGUUGUCUCUAAUGCCUAACCCAUGGACGAUAGUGGUAAUUCGAUAAGAGACAUCAUGGUAUGCCCCAUAUCCAUUAGGGUGCAUCUAUGAUGUUCGGACACACCAUCAUACUAUGGUGUUCCAGGCGGUGUUAGUUUUGAAACAAUUUCCACAAUGUCUCAAUUGUGUACCAAACUCGCAACUCAGAUAUUCAUCUCUAUGAUCAUAUCAUAGACAUUUUAUCCUCUUGUCACGACGAUCUUCAACUUCACUCUGAAAUUACUUGAACCAUUCAAUAAUUCAGACUUGUGUUUUAUCAAGUAAAUAAACUCAGUGUCUACUCAAAUCAUCUGUGAAGUAAGAACAUAACGAUAUCCACUGCGUGCCUCAGCACUCAUUGGACUGCACACAUCAAAAUGUAUUACUUCCAACAAGUUGCUUUCUUGUUCCAUUUUACUGAAAACGAGGCCUUCAGUCAUCUUGCCCAUGUGGUAUGAUUUGCAUGUCUCAAGUGAUUCAAAAUCAAGUGAGUCCAAACGGUCCAUCUGCAUGGAGUUUCUUCAUGCGUAUAUACCAAUAGACAUGGUUCACAUGUCUCAAUCUUUUCAAAAACGAGUGAGUCCAAAGAUCCAUCAACAUGGAGCUUCUUCAUGCGUUUUAUACCAAUAUGACUCAAAUGGCAGUGCCACAAGUAGGUGGCACUAUAUCAUUACUAUCUUAUAUCUUUUGGCAUGAACAUGUGUAUCACUACGAUCGAGAUUCAAUAAACCAUUCAUUUUAGGUGCAAGACCAUUGAAGGUAUUAUUCAAAUAAACAGAGUAACCAUUAUUCUCCUUAAAUGAAUAACCGUAUUGCGAUAAACAUAAUCCAAUCAUGUCUAUGCUCAAUGCAAACACCAAAUAACAAUUAUUUAGGUUUAACACCAAUCUCGAUGGUAGAGGGAGUAUGCGAUGCUUGAUCACAUCAACCUUAGAAACACUUCCAAACCAUAUCAUCAUCUCACCUUUAACUAGUCUCCGUUUAUUCCGUAGCCUUUUAUUUCGAGUUACUAACACUUAGAAACUAAACCGGUAUCUAUUACCAUGGUGCUACUAGGAGUACUAGUAAAGUACACAUCAAUAUAAUGUAUAUCCAAUAUACUUCUGUCGACCUUGCCAGUCUUCUCAUCUACCAAGUAUCUAGGGUAGUUCUGCUUUAGUGACUGUUCCCCUCAUUACAGAAGCACUUAGUCUCGGGUUUGGGUUCAACCUUGGGUUUCUUCACUAGAGCAGCAACUGAUUUGCCAUUUCAUGAAGUAUCCCUUCUUGCCCUUGCCCUUCUUGAAACUAGUGGUUUCACUAACCAUCAACAAUUGAUGCUCCUUCUUGAUUUCUACUUUCGCGGUGUCAAACAUUGCGAAUAUUUCAAGGAUCAUCAUAUCUAUCCCUGAUAGGUUAUAGUUCAUCACGAAGCUCUAGUAGCUUGGUGGCAAUCACUUUGGAGAAACAUCACUAUCUCAUCUGGAAGAUUAACUCCCACUCGAUUCAAGUGAUUUUUCUACCCAGACAAUCUGAGUACAAGCUCAACGAUUGAGCUUUUCUCAAUUAGUUUGUAGGCUAAGAAACUUGUCGGAGGUGUCAUACCUCUUGACGUGGGCACGAGCCUGAAAUCCCAAUUUCAGCCCUUGGAACAUCUCAUAUGUUCUGCGGUGUUUCAAAAACGUCUUCGGCGCCACAAUUCUAAACCGUUUAACAUUACUGAACUAUCAUGUAGUCAUCAAAACGUGUAUGUCAGAUGUUCACAACAUCCACAGACGAUGUUCGAGGUUCAGCACACCGAGCGGUGCAUUAAGGACAUAAGCCUUCUACGCAGCAAUGAGGACCAUCCUCAGUUUACGGACCCAGUCCGCAUAAUUGCUACUAUCAACUUUCAACUAAAUUUUCUCUAGGAACAUAUCUAAAACAGUAGAACUAAAACUCGAGCUACGACAUAGUUUGGAAAGACCUUUUGACUAUGUUGAUGAUAAUUAAGUUCAUCUAAUGAAAUUAUUUAAUGAACUCCCACUCAGAUAGACAUCCCUCUAGUCAUCUAAGUGAUACAUGAUCCGAGUCAACUAGGCCGUGUUCGAUCAUCACGUGAGACGGACUAGUCAUCAUCGGUGAACAUCUUCAUGUUGAUCGUAUCUACUAUACGAAUCAUGUUUGACCUUUCGGUCUCUUGUGUUCCGAGGCCAUGUCUGUACAUGCUAGGCUCGUCAAGUCAACCUAAGUGUUUUGAAUGUGUAAAUCUGGCUUACACCUGUUGUAUGUGAACGUUAGAAUCUAUCACACCCGAUCAUCACGUGAUGCUUCGAAACAACGAACUUUCGCAACGGUGCACAGUUAGGGGGAACACUUUCUUGAAAUUAUUAUGAGGGAUCAUCUUAUUUACUACCGUCGUUCUAAGCAAAUAAGAUGCAUAAACAUGAUAAACAUCACAUGCAAUCAAAUAGUGACAUGAUAUGGCCAAUAUCAUUUUGCUCCUUUUGAUCUCCAUCUUCGGGGCUCCAUGAUCAUCAUCGUCACCGGCAUGACACCAUGAUCUCCAUCAUCAUGAUCUCCAUCAUCGUGUCUCCAUGAAGUUGUCUCGCCAACUGAUUACCUCUACUACUAUAGCUAACGGUUUAGCAAUGAAGUAAAGUAAUCACAUGGCGUUAUUCAGUGACAUGCAGGUCAUACAAUAAUUAAAGACAACUCCUAUGGCUCAUGCCGGUUGUCAUACUCAUCGACAUGCAAGUCGGGAUUCCUAUUACAAGAAUAUGAUCAAUCUCAUACAUCACAUAUAUUUCAUUCAUCACAUCCUUCUUGCCCAUAUCACAUCACACGACACAUGCUGCAAAAACAAGUUACACGUCCUCUAAUUGUUGUUGCAAGUUUUUACGUGGCUGCUAUAGGUUUAUAGCAAGAACGUUUCUUACCUACGCCAAAACCACAACGUGAUAUGCCAAUUGCUAUUUACCCUUCAUAAUGACCCUUUUCAUCGAAUCCGAUCCGACUAAAGUGGGAGAGACUGGCACCCGCUAGCCACCUUAUGCAACAAGUGCAUGUCAGUCGGUGGAACCUGUCUCACGUAAGUCUACGUGUAAGGUCGGUCCGGGCCGCUUCAUCCCACAAUACUGUCGAAACAAGAUAUGACUAGUAACGGUAAGCAUAUUGAACAAAACCAAUGCCCACAACUACUUGUGUUCUACUCAUGCAUAGAAUCUACGCAAUAGACCUUCACUGUUGGGGAACGUAGCAGAAAUUCAAAAUUUUCUACGCAUCACCAAGAUCAAUCUAUGGAGAUUCUAGAAACAAGAGAGAGGGGAGUGUAUCUUCAUACCCUUGAAGAUCGCGAAGCAGAAGCGUUACAAGAAUGCGGUCGGUGGAAUUGUUCACGAAGCGAUUCAGAUCGCGGCCGUAUCCGAUCUAAGCACCGAACAAUGGUGCCUCCGUUCAACACACGUACAGCCCAGGGACGUCUCCUCCUUCUUGAUCCAGCAAGGGGAGAGGAGAAGUUGAGGGAAAACUCCGACAGCACGACGGCAUGAUGGUGAUGGAGCUCAUGGUUCUCCGGCAGGGCUUCGCCAAGCACUACGGAGGAGGUGGAGGUGUUGGAGGAGGGAGAGGGCUGCGCCAGGGGAAGGGUGCGGCUGCCCUCUCUCUCCCUCACUAUAUAUAGGGGGAAGGGAGGAGGGGGAGGCACCCUACAGUUCCCUAGGGGAGGGGCGGCGGCCACAGGGGAAACCCUAGAUGGGUUUGGGCGCCCCCACCCCCUAGGAAACUUGCCCCCCAAGCCGGGAGGGGCGGCUGCCCUAGGGAUGGCGCCCCCACCUCUCCUGGUUACGUGAGAUGGGGUGGGAGGGGCGCUCAGCCCCUUAGUGGGCUGAUGUGCCCUCUCGCCUUGGCCCAUAAGGCCCCCCAACGCUUGUCGGGGCCUCCGAAACCCCUUUCGGACACGCUGGUCAUCACCUGGUAGCCCCGGAAAAAUUCCGGACUCCAAUACCCUUCGUCCAAUAUACCGAUCUUCACCUCCGGACCAUUCCGGAGCUCCUCGUCAUGUCUGGGAUCUCAUCCGGGACUCCGAACAACCUUCGGUAACCACAUACUAUUUCCCAUAACAACUCUAGCGUCACCGAACCUUAAGUGUGUAGACCCUACGGGUUCGGGAACCAUGCAGACAUGACUGAGACGUUCUCCGGUCAAUAACCAACAGCGGGAUCUGGAUACCCAUGUUUGCUCCCACAUGUUCCAUGAUGAUCUCAUCGGAUGAACCACGAUGUCAAGGAUUCAAGCAAUCUCGUAUGCAAUUCCCUUUGUCAAUCGGUAUGUUACUUGCCCGAGAUUCGAUCGUCGGUAUCCCAAUACCACAUUCAAUCUCGUUACCGGAAAGUCACUUUACUCGUUCCAUAAUGCAUGAUCCCGUGACUAACUACUUAGUCACAUUGAGGUCAUUAUGAUGAUGCAUUACCGAGUGGGCCCAGAGCUACCUCUCCGUCAUACGGAGUGACAAAUCCCAGUCUCGAUUCGUGCCAACCCAACAGACACUUUCGGAGAUACCCGUAGUGCACCUUUAUAGCCACCCAGUUACGUUGUGACGUUCGGUACACCUAAAGCACUCCUACGGUAUCAGGGAGUUACACAAUCUCAUGGUCUAAGGAAAUGAUACUUGACAUUAGAAAAGCUUUAGCAAACGAACUACACGAUCUUGUGCUAUGCUUAGGAUUGGGUCUCGUCCAUCACAUCAUUCUCCUAAUGAUGUGAUCCCGUUAUCAAUGACAUCCAAUGUCCAUGGUCAGGAAACCAUGACCAUCUGUUGAUCAACGAGCUAGUCAACUAGAGGCUCACUAGGGACAUGUUGUGGUCUAUGUAUUCACACAUGUAUUACGGUUUCCAGUUAAUACAAUUAUAGCAUGAACAAUAGACAAUUAUCAUGAACAAGGAAAUAUAAUAAUAACCAUUUUAUUAUUGCCUCUAGGGCAUAUUUCCAACAGUUACUUGUCUUGAACCGCCGCCGGGUCGGCCCUUUAUAUACAGAGGUCGACGCCCAGCGGUUCUGCAGAGUCCUGGCCAGCUCAUAAACAGUGUCCGACUCGGUCUCUUAACUAUUCUUGCCUUACAAUACAAGUCACGCAUACAGGGUGGUUUAUCACUACAGGCCUUAAGUCGCCUCUGGGCCUUGGGCCCUUAACUAAACCGCCAUUUAUAUCCUGGGUCUUGUGCUUCAAGAAUAUUUGCAAGUAUGACCCGGCCCCUCCUGGGCGGGUCAUACCAAUAGUUAUAUCUCCAACAGAAGUCGUCAGCUAUCGAAACCAUCUCGAUCGAGAUCAUGCAACUAUACCAACCGAUAAGCACGCAAGGAAUUGCACCAACCAGCAUACUUGGGCAAUACAACUACAGUGCUGAUUAACCCUACCACGUAGGUUUUUAUCUGAACGUGGUCACGAUGAAGAGACGUUACCUCCGGCCAUCCUGAUCACGAUCACAUUUUCUAUGCAAAACGUACUAAUUCCACACAACGAGCCUGGAAUAGGAUCUUCCAUGAUCCAUCUCACAACUGUUGAAGCUUGGUGCUUUGCAAAUUGCUUGUUGGGUCGGACGUUCUUAGAGAAUCUAUAGCAGUUCCUGUAUAAAACUUACCCUAAAGUUGUUCUACGGGGUGUUCAUAUAAUUUUGGAGAAGUUAUCUAGUGAGGUCUCUUUUCACUUUGUGUAAACAUCUUUCCUAAAAAAAAUUUACAUUAAAAAGGGCACAUGUGGGGAGGUGCCCGAGCGAAGGGGCAUGUGCUAGGAGGCGGGCGGGAGGCCGGGGGCGAUUCAAGGGGGUGCCAGGCGGCGGGCGUGCGCCGCGGCCGAUUCAUCCGAGUGUCAAUGGGGAGGGGCCGGGCGGCAACGACGGGACGAGGUAGGUGUGGAUACGACCUUAGAGGCGCCCUGAAACUUCAGUAGUUGGCUCGGCCAAAGUUUAUACGCAGGGUUUUCUUCCCGUGGAUGGAGCGAAAGUUUUGAAAAUUAUCCGGGGCCUCGUAAUUAUUUUGUGUGUGUUAAAAAAAGGUUGCGGAUUUUUUUUGCCUAACUUCCUCUAAAUCAGAGUUAUUUUACGAACGCAGGAAUUGUUGGAGAUGCUUUUAGAAAUUCUUUGUAUACCGUUCGGCCAUCCAAUACGGCCAUUAUAUUUAUUUAUUUAUUGACUUGUAAAGUGAGUUUCUGCCGUUUUCAUUAAGAGAGAAAACAACAAAAUGCAAAAACGCCUUAUUACAUGGAAAACUACACAGAAGAACACAACAACAACAAAAGAAAAAGGAAAAGAAAAACAUCCAGCAACAACAACAUAAAAAGAUCAUUUCCACCUAACAAGAUCUCAUUCCGAAAUGAUCUUAAGCAAGAUCUUCGGAAAAGUCUUCAAGAAGGAAAGUGUCGUUCUCGUUGUCGUCGGCAGCAUCGACUACAAUCUUUCACCCAGACCCGCACAAUAUCGCUCCACCGAACCCUUGGAAUGACCUCAUCUACCCAAAAGCCACCAACGCCGGUCCCUACUCAGACCAGCCAUGACCAAGUGGUGAGGAAGAACUCUUCGACAAUGCAUCCAUGGAGAAAGGGCGCCCACGGUAGCUAAUAUUGACCUAUGUCGAAGAGUCGGACUUUCGCCCAGAGCCUUAUGUUUCGCCACCUCUACAAACUUCAGAGAGGAAGCCAAACCACAUCGAACCUACAAGACCGGGCCUCGACUCCACUGAUAUUCAACAACAGCGAAACCAGACAAAUUGGAUCAGAAGGACGUCGUGGCCGCCACAUCACCAUGAUGGACUGGCAGUGUGGACAAUGGCACCACCCCACCACCGCAACUAGGACGUCGUACAGCGCAACAACGCAACCGUUGCCAUUGUCAUGGAGCACGCAGGCACAAAUGCCCGUGCCACACCACAUCGCCCACCAUGCCACCAACACCGCACACCCUCGGGCCUUCGCACCGCCACCACCAUUGUGCCCACUACGCGACCACUACCACUAUGCCCACAGCACCACCACCAUCGCAUGUACAACCUCAGACAACAACCACUAAACCGACAUCAGAUCCGUGAAUCGUGUGGCCACCGCAUCACGCCUACCACCGCAUCAAGCUAGAGGACAUGGGCAGACCACUGUAGCCAAGCGCACCGCUAGCCACUCGGGACCAGACUCGGAAAAAAUGAUAGAUCAAGAUAUGAACCUGCACCUACACCGCAAACCAACCUGACAUGGUAGCGUCGCAGGUCCUGGAUACGACCUCCAUGUGACUAGUCAACCAUUGUAGAUAUGGGCAUUGGAUACCCCGAUCUAGCACGCCCAACCACCACGACCACAUAGCCACCCUGGACGACCUCCAUGUUCGAUCGCUGACCCCAACACCUGUAGGGACCAAGCCCGAGCUCCCUUGGGACAUUAGGAAGCAGGGCCAGCCACCACUAUGACUGAGGUUGAUGGUAAUGCCAACGAGAGAUGGUCGUGAAGGAGCUUCUUUCUGUGACAACUAGGUUUCUCCCCUAUGUCACCGGGGGGGGAGCGGUGUAGGGACUGACAAAUGGAAUAGUAUUAGAACAUCUCUACCAUAUCCCCCAAAAGUUACAUACGGGUUGGAAAUUUUGUUUUGGGGGUUAACACCCAUCUAACAAAUCCCCCAUUUGCUUUAGUUUCUCAAAAUAAUAGGUUUCCAUCCCCCAAAUUUUCUCUCUAGCCAUUAUUUAAUCUGAGAAGAGAACUUCUCAUUAAAAAUGAGGAGGUCGCUCCCUUUCCGCAUUCAGGGCGCGACAACCGACAUGUNNNNNNNNNNNNNNNNNNNNNNNNNNNNNNNNNNNNNNNNNNNNNNNNNNNNNNNNNNNNNNNNNNNNNNNNNNNNNNNNNNNNNNNNNNNNNNNNNNNNNNNNNNNNNNNNNNNNNNNNNNNNNNNNNNNNNNNNNNNNNNNNNNNNNNNNNNNNNNNNNNNNNNNNNNNNNNNNNNNNNNNNNNNNNNNNNNNNNNNNNNNNNNNNNNNNNNNNNNNNNNNNNNNNNNNNNNNNNNNNNNNNNNNNNNNNNNNNNNNNNNNNNCUCAUUCAUUGUUGUCGCCACCAUCCCCAAUUCAAGCUUCCACCGCCUCCAAUUCAGCCUAGGCACCGCCUUUCUGGAGCUCAAGGUCGCGGCUGCCAUUCGAGCACUAUUGCUUCCCCAAGAUCUAGUGUCCCCUAGGGCCUAUCAAAUGUCUUGCUCCCAUCGCCGCCACCCGAAGCCCAGGCGCCGCCUGCCAAAGCUCUGUCCGCGCAUCCCAAACACCGCUUUAACCCCGGAGCCACCUCCCCUGGUUUCAACGACGUCUUCCCCCUCGCUGAGCACCCAUGUCGUUGAACAUGUUGCAACCACCACCGCCGUCGAAGUACAAAGGCCUGAGGCUUCGACCGUGGGCAAAUUGGCGGCAAGAUCGAUAACACGAAUGCGGUGGCAUGGUUGUGGCUUUGCAUUUUCAACACCACGGAGGAGGCGACGCUCUCCUACAAUGCUAACACACCCCGCUUCUUUGGAACUUGCCCGAAUCUCAACUCCCCUAGCAGCGCCGCGGCCGCUAUCGUGUCGCCCACUGGGGUCACCUCCCGUGCCAAGGAGAAGGACCGUGCGACCGAGUGUGCCGAUGCCACCUUCAUGAUUACGCUCCUUGAGGACCUGUAGAUCGUCCUCGAUAACCCCACGUCUCUUGAGUUCAUGGAGAAUGUAUUCAUGAUCGAGUAUGUGCACCGCGAGAUCACUCGCCUCGAAGCUGAGGCCGAGCACAUGUUCGACAAGCUCGCUGGUAACGAGGAGGUGGAGGACGAGAUGUGGUGGAGUCGUCCCACCACCAACGACGAUGAUGGCGGCCCCUCUGGCAGGGGGAGGGUGAUCGCGACCUCCUCCGAGUCGGACUUCUCCGAGGCUGACGAGUAAAGCUCCUCUUUUAUAUAUCAAGUAUUUGUUUUUCUUUAGUUUAUGAUGAUGCUUUAGCUAGUUCAACAGGAAUGUGGUUUUAAAGUACUCCCUUCGUCUCAUAAGUGACUCAACUUUGUACUAAUAUUGUACUAAAGUUAGUGCAAAGUCGAGUCACUUAAUCUGGGACGGAGGGAGUAGUAGGUAAUGGAUUGUUUAAUCAUGUUGUAAUAUGGUACUGUUGUUUAGUUAUGCAAUGAAGCAAUUUAAAUAUAUGCAAAAUUUCAAGUUUGAAAUAUGGAAAAUUGAAGGACAAGGAAUGGGGCGGGAAAAUGAGUUUUGAGGAUCGGCCGGAGAUGCUCUUAGCCUAUUAGUAGCCCACGUCCUUCCUGUUGUGGGAUCAUGUUCGCUGUCAGCAUGCUGAUUCAUCAUGACAGAGGCAACGUCAUCACGUACACAUACACUUAAUUUUGUUGUUCAAUCACUAUCCAUCCCGAAUUGCAGCCAAUUAGUAUACCACCACACACGGGUCAAUCCCUCAGCCAGCCAGCACCAUUAACAACACGGCACACUGGCAAAGGAUAAGGUGCGAUCACCACCGUCGCACAUAACCUGUACUACUACGUACGGAUCAAAUUAAUAGAUUGAUGUUGUAUGCAUCAAUCGAUCGGGGCAGUAAGGGUACGAGGAAGACGCACAGGUACAGGUGUAGCAUCUUCCUUCCACCAAAUCCAUCCGAACCAACGACUACCGCACCCGCCAGCUCGUAAUGCAAUUUUUAAUGCUUAAAGAAGCCUUAUGUACUGCCUAACCUCUUUCUUAUCCUGUACUAGUACUUUGGAGAUUUCACUACGACAAAGUCCCGGGAGAAAUUUCGCCGCUUUCUGGUAUGUCGUAAGAGCUCGGAAAUAUCAUGGUAAUUAGGCUUUCAUUUCCUUUGUUUUACAAUUCCAACUAAUUCAACGCUAACUUUUUCGGUAAUAAUACUACUAUUAGAGCAUCUCUAGUAGACCCCUUAUAUCACGGACCCUUAUACUGCAUUUACAGUUCGCGAAAACGGGUUGUACGGGCUGGCACAUGUGAAUGAUUCUGUGACAGUUUUAGUUGUGAUGAACUAAAGAAGGGUGUCAUUUUCUUCAGAAGACAUGCUAGUUUCUUCCUAAGAAGGUAAUUUCCGUUGAAAACUUGCCAUCAUUUUAUAUCUUCUUAAAACUAAAACUGCCAUCAAAGAGGGUUCGCUUGCCGCCAUUUUCCUAAUGAACGUCAGCUGGCUAACAUUACCGUAAUUUUGUUAGAGUCGCCUCUCCGUCUCUCAUUUAGCCCUCCUGUCCUUAUCACCUUAUCUAAGCUAGCACGGUCUCUUGGACUCUUGGUCGACAUGGAUAACGCCCAUUCUAUGAUUCCAUCCAUGAUCGUUGCUCAUUAGAAAGAUUUUAAUCUGCCCGCGAAUCAAUUAUGCACGGCAGAACAUGGCCUAAUUCUCCAUCAUUUCUGCAGUACGACACGUACGGUACGUAGCGGUCGUCUUUCCACACAAGUGGUUUGAGUAGUCGCGGUAGCUCUGACGUGCCGGCAACAUGCAUGGAGAACCAUUUUGUUUCUAGAAAAGGAGGAAGACCCCCGGCCUCUGCAUCUGGAUGAUGCAUAUAGUCAUUUUAUUAAUUAUUAAUACACGACCUUACAAAGUCAUAUAACAGUAAGGCUAAAGCCACCGUCUAAGCAACAUCCGUCGCUAUUUCUAUCCAGUUGAUGAAGGGGUGCUGAUAGUCUGGGUCUAAUAUCAAACAAGCCUCGUAGCCGAACCUAACAUCUAAGACCUGAUGUCUCAACCAGGACGCCUGCCGGGUAUGAGCACCCACCAGUCCGGAUGCAUGGAGAACUGGGGAUGGUUCCGGCCCUUUGUCUCCCAUCGUGCGCACAAAAUGGCUAGAAAGUAAACAAACCCGAUCAAACUCAGCCUUGCUAAUUAAAUGUGAGUGUGAUACGGAUCAGAAAAGCUGACUGCAGGUGUGUGGUUGCACUUGCACACGGCCUGAUCUUUCUGAAGAAAAAUGGCAGGGACAGAAUGGCCAUUUUGAAUAUCCAGCUGGCCCCGCGAAAAAGAGAGAGCAUCCAGCUAGGUUUUUUCGUAUGGAAUCCAGCUAGGGAAUUAGUGUGUGCCUAACUGCAAUUUAUAUGUGGUUAGGGAUAAGAUAACCAAACAAGAAAGCAAAUAAAAAUGUGGAAUAUGCUGGUAGUUGCCUUCUGCGCAAGAUAAGCAAAUUAUAGUGACUAGUAAAAUGCCCGUGCGUUGCAACGGGUUACCAAAACUAUGACGUUCCAAUCAAGCAAUUGAGAACAUAUAAUGUAUAGCCCACCUUAUUAAUCCAAAAUCAAAUAAAAUUAAGCGCUAGUUACAGUUAUAGGAAUAUAACACAUUUAGUUGAUGGAUUAAAUGCGAGAAGCUUAGAAACCACAAUUUAUUCUAAAAAUCUUAGUUUAAAUUUAGCAAUUGAAACUUCCGUUAUUCAUCAUAGAGAUACAAACUGUGACUUUGUUUUUGUUUGGAAUUUUCACUUCAGACACAACAAUAUAGAAUACUACUUAUAUAUAUAUGCAUCUAUGAAAUUUUUGUAGAGUUUUGAGCACCAAAAAAAUUUAGAUUUAUGCUAAUCCUGAGAAGCUUAGAAGGAGUAGAGAAGAAAGAGAUAUUCCAACCAUUUUUUUAUUUUUAUUUUCUUUGAACCCCUCCUUUUGCCACUGACCAGUGGGUCCGUCAAUCCAGCACUCCAGCAGCGUCAGCUACUCCCUGCCCGGCUGUCUCUUCAUCUUUUCUCCUCAUCCACUCCUCACUCUUCCGGUCUUCCCCCCGGAUCCCCUUUCUUGUCAAACUCGCCGGGGACGCCGCCGCUUGCCGUUGCAACGCCAGCCAUUGGCACCGGCGGGAUCCGCCAGCCGUCGGUCCGGAUCGACGCUCACGCCUCCGGCUCCGACAUGCACGCCCGUUGAACGCCGUCGUGAACCACCUCGCUUCUCUGGUGCGCUCUUGCUCGUAGGUAGUUUCCUAGCUCGAUUGUAGCUCUUGCCGUCCCUUUAAUGGUGAUUCCUAGCGCCGGCGUGCAGGUACGUCUUGAACCAAGGUCGCCUUUCUCGGUUCCGUCGGCCGCUGUUGCGACGCCGCCGCGGUCAUCCUCCUCCCCGAGCAGCUCUAGGGGCCGUGACGGGCUCCGCGUCGUCGCGUCUCCUCUGGACCACGAACUCGAAGCCGUGGGUCCCUCCUACUUCUUCCUCGACCGCUGACCGCCAUUGACGCCGUCCGAAACUUGCUGCCGUCCGUCCUCUCGCCUCCCUGCUCCGUCCGACCCUGCCAGGAACAGCAAGGUGAGGAGCCAUCUCUUCCUGCUGCUGCUGCUGUCCGCUGUUGGCUUUCUUUGCCGCUUGCUGUUGUUGCGCUGCUGGAUGGUUGCUUUGCUGCUUGAUGCUGCCGGUUGUUUUGCUUGCCGCUGCUGCUUGCUUUUGUUGCUUGCUGCUGCUGGCCUUGAGCUACCGGUAAAUGAGAGAAAGAAAGGAAGUUUUACAUUUGUAGAGGGAUAUGGUCGUAUUUAGAUACACCUAGAAAUGGCCAUGUUUCACUACCGUUUAAUUUUGUUCGUCGUACUGUCAGACUAAGGCUAGUCUUUCCUGUGCAUAAAAGUUUCAGAAAAAUGCACAACCUGCUGAAAUUGGAAAAUCCAUAAAAAAAUCAUUCCAGUUUCUGUUUGGAGUAGUACUGAUAUGGAGUUGGCUGGUUUAAAUUGUACUGUAGCAACGGAAAAUAUGAACAUAGUCAAUAUUAUUACUUGGAUAGCUCAAGGGUGGAUGUUUCUAAUCCUGUACAUGGCACCUUGGACACAUUCUGCAAUGAAUUUUGAGGCCUGAAAUUGAUGUUUAAGAAAGUGUUAGAAUUUAAGGACACCUGCAUGCUAAAUCUAUCACAAAGCUACAGAAAAAAGUAGAUGAACAGAUUAUAUUCUUUUUGUUCAUAUAGAAGUAUCUACUGGCUUGAAAGACUCAUCCUGUAAUAGUAUAGAUAGUACAGAUACGAGGACUUCACUGAUGGCAAACUCAGCUCAAAUUUGGGUUGUUCAUAAAUCAUCAGAUACAUAGUUCCUUAUCCAUGUAUUUCUAACAAGAGAUUCUAUGCAACUGAAGUUUAAGUCAGUAUUUUUAUUGGUAUAUGAUAUUAGUUUUACCAUAUUAAAAAGCAUAUGCCUUAGAAAGAAAUAUGAAACCUUAGUAUUUUUGUUCUUCUUUACCAAGUCACUGUCCAAGCAUCUUCCUCCUGCAUAUGUUGGAAACUUCACGCUGACUCAUGUUAUUUCCAGCUUAAACAGGUGCAUCUUUGACCAAGUAUAGGACGGGCAAAUGUCGCGGAAGGAAUACUGAUGGUUUUUGAAGACUGACUAUGCUCCCUCGAGUACUGCGCAGCAACAAACUCAGGUCAGUGUGCAUUAAUAUCUACAAUAGUUAUGUGGUUGUAAUGCAGAACUGAACAUAUUUUACCUUGACAUGAUAUAAUUUGAUCCAGUGACUUCAUGUGCUAAGGACUUCUUUGUAGACUAUGUUCUUCGUGGUUAUUAAUAAGGGCUCAGAUCUUUUUCGCUUCUUUGAAUUCUUGCUUUCGUCCUUGCCCUUGCCCUUACCAUUGUCAUUGUCCUUGAUGGCGAGAAUCUUAAUGUUCCUCUUCGCGGUGGCUCUAGACAAAGCGACGUAAAGCUGACCGUGAGAGAAAAUCGGGUCCGGUAGGUAAACCCCGACAAUGGGGAUGGUUUGCCCUUGCGCCUUGUUGAUUGUCAUGGCAAAGCUGAGCCUAAUAGGGAACUGCUUCCUCUUGAACUUGAAAGGGAAUAUAUCGUCAUAGGAUGGGCAGAGAGGUAUCCGAGGAAGGAACACCCUCCUACCAGCAUGUUGUCCUAGCACGAUUUCUGCGUCGAUGGCGUUCCUUUGGAAACCCCGGACCACAAGCCUUGUGCCGUUACACAACCCAUUAGCUGGAUCAAUAUUUCUCAACAGUAUAACCGGGCAAUUUAUCUUUAGUUUGAGCGCAUGCGGAGGCAGGCCAUUGGGAGUCAGGUUGUUGAGGAACUCGGGGGCAUAGUAGCCAUGUGGAUCAUCCUCUGCACUAUCAAAACUGUGGUAGAUCUUCUCUUCGCCCUGGAAGCGCUCUAUCAUGCGCGUGUUUAUCUUAUCAACGUUGUCAUUCUUUGUGGAGAGGAUCGCUCGAGAUGUCAUGUAAUUUGGAUCGGCCAUGUUGUCAUCUAGAGCAGGAAAUACAUGGUCGAUUAGCUUCUCUAGGUCAACGCCAUCUCCUGUUGGCGGCACACAAAUAUCUUCGGGGAGCCUUAUGUUGCCUUCCUCGUCGGUUUCCUCGGUGCCAUUGCCUACCCUUAGCAAGUAAUCUGCGAACCACGGGUCGUUAUGCGCCCUCAUGUUAGUGACGAGCCUUAGCUGGCGCAUGCCCUUCCAAAGGUAUGAACUCCGCAGGGUUGAAUCGAUUAUCUGACCCCGUGACCCCUUCCUAACGACCGGAAGCACCUGCCUGAAGUCCCCACCGAACACGACAGUUUUUCCCCCGAAAGGUCGGUCCCGUCGUCCCAUGAUGUCCCGCAUGCUAUUGUCCAGUGCCUCAACCGCUUGCCGCCUCGUCAUCGUGGCCUCGUCCCAUAGGAUGAGUGAAGCCAUGCGCAGGAGCUUGGCUGUCCCACUUUGCUUGGUGAAGCUGCACGACGCCCCAUCUUCAAUGCUGAGUGGGAUCUUGAACCUCGAGUGGGCUGUCCUUCCUCCAGGCAUGAUGGAAGCUGCGACGCCAGAUGUCGCCGUAGCCACCGCGAUCUUGCCCUCGCCUCGAAUCUUUGCGAGUAGUGCCUUGUAUAGGAAGGUCUUCCCGGUGCCUCCCGGGCCAUCGACAAAGAAUACACCCCCAUCACCGGCAUCGACUGUUGCCAGUAUCUCGUCGUAUGCAAGUCUCUGCUCGGGGUUUAGCGAGGACACUAAAGCAGUGUCGUUCGCGUCAACCUCGAUUGUGGACUCCUCGGUGACUUCUCUAGCCUCACCUCCAGUAGUGUCACAGGUCUCGUCGAUGUCCGGAAGAGGGAACAAUGCUAUGUCUUUGCCCAUGGACUGUAGCAUGCCCCUGAUGUCAAGCAACACCAUCUGCUCCACUGCCUUUGAGCACAUGUGUGAUCGGCGGUAGUCAUCAGACAUCGCCUCUAGGUGCCUAUGCCAUAGACCGCGCACGUCACCUGGCUCGCAGAAUACCAAGAUUGUUGCAAAGAGCCUCCUGAGUGAGGCUGGCAUCGCGAACUCUGUUGACUCUGUAAGACACUCGUCAAGCGUGUUGUCGGCCUCAAUGAGGCCCAAUCUCUCGGCAGCCUCACGGAAGCUAUCACAUAGCACACCGUCCACGAUCCGCAGGUCCUCAAAAGAUGUCUUGCCUGGCACGUGGUUGAGCAGCACUCGUAGAAAGUACCGCUCCCCCUCGGCCGGAUGGGCUGACACGAUUCGACCAACUUGGUGCCGCUUUUCUCUCGGCCUCCAGUACUUCUGUCUCUGCCAUGUGAAACUUCCCGGGAAGUCCUUGUAAAGGAUAUCCCGAGCCCACUCGUGCUUCUGAUUAGCGAGGAAAUACUCCGUCAGCAUUGACUUAGAUGCAUUAUCACGGGCGACGACAUCGGUCAGGUCCUCUUGCGCUUUGAACGUGACACUAUGCAUAUUAGGGAGAUGAAGCGACAACUGUAGGACCGAUGGGGAACUCUCAGAAAGGUUGAAGCCGAAUAUCCUCCACAUCGCCUCCGGUGGAGUAACCCAUCUCGCAUCAAUGUACCUUUUAAUCUCAUCUACAACCCCGUUGCUGUCAGGCUGGUCGAUGCUGAUUGAAGCUCGAUCGUGGCCCUUGUAUACGUAUUUGUAAAGGUACUUGACGGCCUUGAUGCUGGAGCAUACCUCAACAUUAAUGUGACAGUUGAACAUCCGCAACAGAUAAGGGUUGUAAGGCACCACCCACCUGUUAUCUAGCAGAUGACGGUGGACCUUAGCACAACGGCCAUCAUCCCGUCGUCGAUAAACCGGGUAUGAAUCCUUACCUUGUAAGGUGUUCUGGUUGAACGGCCGUGGGUACUUGCACUUGCACUUCAAGUCUUGCAUGCACACAUUUUUGGGAUUUAGAUUACCGCAUGGGCCGUGCAUCAUAUGCUUCACGACCAUGGCAUAGAGCUCUGGAUACUUAUGCUUGUCCGGGAGCUCUGCAGAUAUGACGCGGUCAUACUGCUCUGGCACCACAAGUUUAUAAUUUGAAUUCAUGAUCAACAGGAAGUGCGCAUGGGGGAGGCCCCUCUUCUGAAACUCGACGACAUACACAUGCGCUACCACAACACCUAGGAUGUGCUUCUUGAACAACAUCUCUUUCAUGGUUUCCAGCUUGGCCCUGAACACGCGUGCGACAAGAUCUGGUCGGUCUUGGGGAGUCUGGCCUGGAAGUAGCUCAUUCAGUAUCUCCUCCCAGCUAGGGUUGCAUGUCAUAGUCAAAAAGAUGUCAGGCUUCCCAUACGUCUGCACCAAUGCCAUGGCGUCCAUAUGCCUCCGCUUCAUGUCUCGGUUGCACCCCUGAUGUGUCCCUGGGAGCACGAUCCUCUUGCCAACAGCGCUCGCUUGCAUCUCCCCAACUGCGAUGCUAUCCACAAGGCCUUGGUAUAGAUCGGCACGUAUCUGUGGCUAGUGGUCCCUGAUCCACUUCAGCCUACAACCCUCAAUCUUGAUGAACAUGUCGACGCCCCAUUGCUGGAACAAGCGUGCUCCGUGAAGUAUGGGGUUGAAUAUUGCAGGGCGUGUUUGUAGCCGGUAACAGUAGUAGUCCCUAACAGAGACACACAACCGACUGUUCCCCUCUAUGGAAAGAUGUGAAAGAAGAAGGUUAGGUACCAUAUGGGAAGGAUAGACAAUGUUAUUUUUCGCAUAUAAGCAUACUAAAUAGGCGAACCUGAAUCGUUAUCGCGGUUUCCUCUUGGUUGUUGUGCAAGUUCCCAAGGGACAUUGUGCUUAGGGAUAUUUGGAUGCCAACCAAGCUCCCCCCUUGGGAAAAAGAGGGGAUACGACAGCGGGUCAUAGCAACCUUCUGUAGCAUGUAUACUAUGCUUCUCGUUGUUGUCCCCAUAGAGUGUAAUGUUGCGGUUGAACCUGUUUGCUAGAUCGCUUCCCUCGACCCAAAUCGCAGCCACCUCAGAUGACACCGGUUUGUUAUAUCUCCGUUGGUCUAGCUUCUGGUCAAUGUUGAGGUCUAUCCGGUACUCCUCGAGGUUUUCCUUGUGGGCACCCAAACUCCUAAACUGCUGGGAGUAGGGGUUUUCCCUGAGGAUGUCCACUAACUUGCUGACAACACUCUGGUCCAAUUGCUUGGUGGCCUCCUUGCGAUGGCUUAAGUUUGGGUCGUCGUCAUAGAAGUACAACUGCAGAUGAUCAGGACGAGAUGUUGGACCGAACGAGUGCACCUUGUGGUACAUAGUGCCAUGUGCCCGAAACGUGUACACUCCCGACUUCAUGUUUGUGUAGUUGUUGUCUAGGUUGACACCAAGGGUAGUGAAGGAGAAGUGCCCGUUGAAGAACCGAAUGCUCUCCCGGAAAUGCCGAGAGUCUCCAUCCGCGCUAGACCAUAACCUCAUCAGCUCCGGGAUAGGCUCCGGUUCAGCCAGCUUAAUCUCCCCGUUCCGACAGCAGAAGCCGUCAGUCUCAUACUGGAACUUCUUGGCCUUGCAAUGGUCGCAGUUCGCCGCGUGCUUCAGGAUGUGCGUGCUGUCUGGGAUGUUCGAGUACACAUAGUCGAAAGGAUCAAGCUCGAUAGAUCCCGUGUUGGAGUCUACAGGCUCAUCGAUGUCAGUGUUAUCAGCGUCGGAUCCUGCAAGCAUUGUCGAGACAUAACAUGUCACGAUAGGAUGCAGAACAUAAAUCAAUAGUAUAGAGGGACGAGCACGAAAGGCGCCUGGGAGUACCUUGAUCGGCAAAUAGGUAGUACUCAUCAUCCAUGAGGUCACCGGAAAGUCCAUUGUCAUCCAUGAUGCCGCUAAGGAAGGUGUCCAUUUCAGCUGCAACAUUGUUGAGCUGGUAAGUAAUGGUUUAGUGUGAGUGGUCACUGGGAGGGGAGUAAAAGAUGAGAGGGUUACCAUCGGUCCCAAUGGUGUAAGACGGCAUGCUCGAUGGAGGGGACGAAGCCGGUGAAGCAGCUCCUAUGGGCGGUGUUUCUGAGCUUGUUGCUGCUCUGUUCACAUGUAAGGUACUUGGGUGUGGAGACCUCUGCUUAGCUGCAAAGCUUGCAUUACGACGCUCUAGCAACGCUGACCCCUCACCUUCUGCUAAGCUUUUCGUGUGCGCUCUUCGUUUUGCGGCACCCCCUUGAAUGUUCUUUACCACCAUACCUCGUUUGUGAGCUCGCUCGCGAGCCCUACGCCGUGCUCUGGUCUCCUGUUUCUGCUCAUGGGCUUGAUUCUGGUUGUCGUGUAUUCCCUGAUCAUUGGUUUGUUGCGAGGCAUUUAUGAGUUCGCCGGGAGCCUCAUUAUUGUCCAGGGUACGACUAAGGUACUCGCCUGCAUGGUUGAGGAGCUGGUAAAUACUGGUCCAACGCACAUGGACAUAACAAGUAGAGUAAAGAUGGGAGGAUUACCAUCUGAUUCGAAGCUGUAACCAGCCUUACUCGCUAACUGGGGGGAAGGAGUUGAAGCGGCGGGGUCUCUGGCAUGAGUGGUCGACAUCAGGUUGGGCGUAGCUAAAGUAGCUGCAUCUGGGCGCGGCAUUGCGAUGGAUUCAGCGCAAGGGAUGUUGCGCCUAGCCGCGAGUAUUGCGUUGCGUUGAGUUAGCAUCUUCUGUUUCUCCUUGGGUGGUAUGUUUUGCACACGUGCUCUUCGGCGGGCAUUUGUCUCUUGCUUCUCCUCGACCGGCAUAUUUUGGUAGGACGCCCUUCUGCAGCUAUUCCUCUCUUGCUUGUCCUCGACCAUCAUUUUUUGGUAGUCCGCCCUUCUAAGGGUGUUACUUUUUUGCUUCUCCUCUGGUGUCAUCCGUUGCCUGGCUUCUCUUUGACAUGCAUUCCUCUCCUCGUAUGUUUUCUUCUUCCUAGCUGCUCUGCGGUGUGCAUUGAUUUUCUCCUUCUCUUCAGGUGUUAAUCUAUCCCGCCGUGCUAUGUAUUGUUCUCGCCUUUUCUGUUUUUUAUCUGAUGUAAUGAUUGCAUUUGAAGCAAUGUGUUCAGGAUCAGUGUGUGAGGUGUUGAGUCGAACCGCUAUAUCUGAACCAAUAUUAUGCUGAAUGCCGCUCUGUGUUCCUUGAAGUGAUACACGUUGAUCAUAGUAAGUGGCUUCACGAGAGUGACUUCCUGAAGAACCAUUUUGUGGACCACUUAGGUUAACAAAUGUAUAAAUGCAAGCUGAAAUAUUUUCAUGUGUAAGGUCGAUACCGAUUGACGUUUGCACAUGUUGUACUGGCUGAAAGGCUGUUAGAUUGCCGGCUAUGGGAACCAUCAUAGCCACAUGUGUGCGCACAUUGUCAUCAUCAUCGGAAGANNNNNNNNNNNNNNNNNNNNNNNNNNNNNNNNNNNNNNNNNNNNNNNNNNNNNNNNNNNNNNNNNNNNNNNNNNNNNNNNNNNNNNNNNNNNNNNNNNNNCCCUCAUUCCCCUCUUUUGAUUACACAAUUCAGUAGAAACUCUUUUUUUGGUGUAUCUUACCAAACUGACCUAAUAAUUUCAAGCCAAGGACUGUACUGUGCACUCACAUAUGUACUAAAAAUUGUAGAUUCAGAAAAUGGGAACAAAAUACACUUGUGGUAUGAGAAUUUGAACCGAGAGUUAUGUAUAAAAAUUUCUUCCUUUUACUUGUGGUUACCAUUAGAGCCAUUGCUUCAUUGCCACAAGUGGAGGUAAUACAUGCCUCUCUAUGUCAAUCGGGAAAACGCAAAUGGUUAGGCUAGUCUGCAUGUUUAUAUACUUGAACCUAGCUUGUUGUAUUUUGAUUGUUUUUUCCACAAGCUGUGAGCUGCAAUGUUGAUCAUGUUAGUUGGCAGCCGUUUAGGAUGGAAGUAACAUAAUUUAUAUUACAUCAUAAAUUCCGGUCUGGUGCUGCAUUUCAGGUUCAACUUGAGGUGUAGGUNNNNNNNNNNNNNNNNNNNNNNNNNNNNNNNNNNNNNNNNNNNNNNNNNNNNNNNNNNNNNNNNNNNNNNNNNNNNNNNNNNNNNNNNNNNNNNNNNNNNNNNNNNNNNNNNNNNNNNNNNNNNNNNNNNNNNNNNNNNNNNNNNNNNNNNNNNNNNNNNNNNNNNNNNNNNNNNNNNNNNNNNNNNNNNNNNNNNNNNNNNNNNNNNNNNNNNNNNNNNNNNNNNNNNNNNNNNNNNNNNNNNNNNNNNNNNNNNNNNNNNNNNNNNNNNNNNNNNNNNNNNNNNNNNNNNNNNNNNNNNNNNNNACAUCUGAACUUGCCUAUUCAUCCUUGAUUAUGAAACAUAUUAAUUCCCAGAAUUUAAUGGGCGUAUUCUUCAUUGAAAUUUAUGAUUUUCAGGUAGCUGGUACAUAGCUUAAAAUCCUGCAUCGCUUAAGUAUCUUUGUAAUGUAGGUAAUUUGCUCAGACAUCAUGAAUGCAUGAAUGCAUUUUGUUUUUGUAGGAACCAGCUGAGGAUGGUAAACCUAGGGAACUGUGAAGAUGGUGGCAGGAGGAUGUACCUGCGGCGUCCGGAGAUGGGUGCAGCAACAGCCGGCCUGCGGAGGUGGCUGGUUCUGGCGGCCCUGUCGAGCAACACCAUGAGACGGGAGCAGAGGUGCUGGUUCCGGCGGCAGCAGAGGCUGCAGCAUGAGACGGGAGCAGAGGUUGCUGGUUCCGGCGGCAGCGGAGGCUGCAGCUCGCACAUCUGCUGUGAGAGCGAUGUGGCCGGACUGGUUCCGGCGGAUGUGGCCGGACGGCGACUAUACGUCCAGCGAGAGGAGGAACUGGCGUUUCUGGCGACGUGCGUUCAAGGCUCGAUAGAGCUCUCACACUUGUUUUUCUGUUUGGUUUGGCUCGAACGUUUUUUUCUUUGGUUUGGGCAUGUACGUCUUUUUUGGUCAAUGCAUGUAGUGGACGUGGUUCGUGGAUUGAGUCGCAACUGUUUCUCUUCGGCUGGUGCGUGAUCGUGGGCUGAGUUGGCGAUGGAUGUCGUUUAUGGGCCGUGUUAAUUAGCGACGGGAUGCGGUCGAGGGGUGGUGGGAUUGGUCGAACCAUCACGACGACUGCAGAUUGCGCUUUAAUAGUAGAGAUU